ACCAAUUGACCAUUGUUGUUAUCAAGAAACAAAGAUGGAACAUUGAUAGUGCCUAAAACAAAAUCUUGCAAAUUACAACCUUCAAAAAUCAACAUAAUUUGAUGUUUCCACAGAAGAAAUUUUGUUUCACUGAGCUUAAUAGUAUCAUGCUUAGAAAAUUGAGAAACACGUUUACUAUCUAUGCAAGAAUUGUACCCAGGAUCCAAAUGACAAGAAGAUACUUGUCUAGCACCAUUACCAUCAUUAGCAGAUUGUUGGUGACUACUGCCAUCUCAUGAGAUUAGAAAGAAUACAUGAACCUCAAAAAAUCAAAGAAGAGAGAAUAUCAAAGAGAAGAAAGAAAGAAAGAUUUCUUCACUAAGUUCAACAUGAAUACAAAGAACCUACAAUAUUUAUACUAAGUUUUAACAAAGAAGAUGAGUAACAAAAUGAAUCAAGUAAGUCAAUAACUUAUUAACAACCUAAUUGUUGCAGCAGUUCAUUAUGCUUAAUUGCUGUUGCAGCUUAUUUCUUGACAUUCACCGUACCUUUUGGCUGCUGCUACUGAAGCUUGCGAACAGCUCAACUGCUGCAAUUCAAUCCUUAACACAUUAAAACAUUUAAAAUUUUCAUUUAAUCAUAAAUUAAAAUUAAGUAAUAAAAUUCAAUAAAAUUUAUUGUUUAGGAAAACCGAAUCCUAUAAAACUAAAAUGAAAAAGUUACAUUAUACCAAAAAAAAAAUGGAAAUGUUUUGUUUAUUGAAUAAAAAAUAACAAGGUUAAACAAAAUAAAAUAUAAUUAUGAAUUUGGGUAUCCGAUAGAAAGUUAUUCCCCUUAACAUCCUUUAAAAUUUUAAAAAUAAACAAAAUAAAACAAAAGAGACUGACUAUUAUUUAUUCAUUUCUUUCUUCUCUUUUGAUUCAUUAGCUGAGUUAUAAUAUUCAGUUAUUUGGUUCUAUGUCUUAAAAAAUAUGACACAAAAUCUCGAUGAAUUCGACUCGAAGUCGAGUUUAAAAUUCUUUUAACUAACUUCUAAAAAUAGACAAAAGAAAAACAAUAAAUUAAAUUCCAAAAUAAAAAAAAAUGAAACAAUAUUUGGGUAAAAAGGUUUUUUUUAAUCGCAUUUUUAACUUUAAAACACUUGCGUUUUCCGUUAUUUUUGCGGUAAAAAAUAUACUUUUAAGUUAAAAGUGGUUUUUCACCUUAAUAUAGAAUGCAUAUAAAAUUCUUGACCCCGAAAUUUAAAAAAAAAAAAAAAAAGUGCUGCUGUUUUAACUCAGCCAAUGAAUCUAAAGAGAAGAAAGUAAAGAUGUAUCUUUCAAUUUUCGAAGGAAAUUGGCAAAGGCUUUCUUAAUAGAAAUGGAUAUUUAUACCACACAGAUUGUACCAUAUUACUUUCUUAAUUCAAUAUAUUAAUUAAAUUACAAAUUAUGUCGACAUUUUUUUUGGUAAAAAAGUACAUUAGGAAAUUAUGUCGACAUGUUAUCUAUAUCUAGAUAUGCAUUUCUUUCUUUUUGACAGUUGUCCAAUUAAACAAGCAAUUCUUUUUUAGAUUUUAUACGAAUGGUUUGAAUUUUAAAUUUAAUUUUUGAAAUAAUUUGAUAGUUUGAAUAUUUUAUUAUGAUUAAAAUGUUAAUAUAUACGUGUCUAAUUACAUAAUCUUUUACUUCUUUUAUUUGAGAUUAUAUAAUAAUGAUCAAUUUUUAAUUUUGGUUUGUAUAUUACACUUAAUUUGAAAUUUAAUCUUUAAAUUUAUUUUUUUUUAAAUUUAUUUUAGUACAUCAAUUUUUAUAAUACUAUUUUUAGUCAAAAUAUUUUAUUUUUGAAUAUGUUGACUUAUACAUGUCCAAAUACAUAACCUUUUAUAUUUUUUGAGACUAUAUAACAAUCAUCAUGUAAUGCUCCAAACCCAGCCUAGAUGACAAAACUAAGUCUGGAGAGCCACGUCAAAUAUUUUUCAAAACAUAAUUUCUAAAACUUGGUUUCAAAGUCUUCCAAACCAGAAGAAUUUUAACAAACAUAACAUUUACUUCGAAAUUUAUCAUUUAGAAAGUCAAAUAUCUCGAAACCACUAAAACUAAUAAUAAAAAAUGUGACUAAGCUCACGAUCCGUCGACCCAAUCAAGUUUGUGGGUUAUUUGUAAUUCAAUUAACAGACAAAGUGAAUUAAUAACUCAAUAAGGAAACAAUUAUAUAUAUAUUCAAAUAAAGUUAAAAUUAAACCAAUAAGGUCCCAAAUUCAUAUUCGAAAUUAGAUACAAAAGAUAAUCUGUCUAAUUUAACAGAUCAGAACAGCUAACUCAGAUAACAAGUUAGCUUAUUCCUAGACACAAAACAGAUCAAACAGACGAAAUUUCCUACCCUCAUUCGCUACACACCAUCUCCGACCAACCUAACACACCAAAUUAAGUAUUUAAUACUCAUCCAACCCUACACACCACAUAGUGUCAGUAUGACACAUUUCGAUAACUGCAGACUAGAUGCCAGAUCAGAUUACGGAUACUGGUGGCUUAGCCACUAAUUCAGAGCAGAACACUUCCUCCUUUACACAAUUCACCCUAAUGCAUAUGUAGAUUUCAAACGACGAUUGAUAAGGAUGCUUAUAUGAUCAUUCAGAUACAGUUUAUACCCAGAUAGAAUAUAUCAAAAUUAUUAAUGAUUGUUACAUUCAACCCGCAUACAGAUAUUCAAUCCUCAGCCUCAUAUCAUAGAAUAACAAUUUAUACAAUCUAUUUCAGUUUAUACGAACCUUACAAAAGACCGACAUUAGUUUCAAACGACGCACGCAGCCUGAGGGUGAAGUUUAGUUCUUGAUCCACACGCCUAUGUGGUUCAACACGGCCUAGAUAGCUGGCCCAUGUGGCUUUACACGGCCUGACACACGUCUGUGUCAUCUGCCCGUGUGGCCCUACUAUGCAAACAGUGAGUUACAUGGCUUGGACACCCGUGUAACACCCCAAAACCCUAUCUAAAAGUUUAGGCCGAAUUCCGAAGGUCACGUUGAUCACCGAAGUGAUCGUGGGAGAAAUUUUAGUUUAAUCAACUAGAAAACAAAUGGUAUUUAAGUUACGUAAAACUCUCCGUUGUAAAAUCCCGAUAUUACAAAAAUUUUAAUCCCAAAAUAUGCUUACGUGCGUAUAACUCAAUAUUUCUUACCAAAAUAUUCAAAAUUAAACUUACAAUUCAAACCGUUUAUUUAUAAAUGCGGAAUUUAUGUAAAAUACUUUUAAAGUCAAUAAUAAAACGUGGCUGUCCGAGACCUCUGGUGUGCCGAGUUCAGCAACAACAUACGAAAGUACCUGAAAAAGGGAAACUGAGGGGGAUGAGCUACACAAGCCCAGUGUGAGAUCGAAACUUCAGAAAAACAAACAUUAAGCACUACAAUAAAAACAAAAUAUCACAUUGGCAAUUUGAUAUCCAAAUAAUCAUUACAACCAAAAUAGAACCAUCAGUACUAAACACAUCGAUCUAUAUACAGUUAAUCUCGCAAUCAAACAGAUAAAAUGCGGAACAAAUGCAACAACAUGAAACCCACCCACCCAUCCAACCAAACACCUCACCAUCUCCCAUUCACACCACAAAUGAGCUAUAAGAAACUCAACCAACCCUGCACACCAUAUAGGACCUCGAAAGGCCCAUCCAACCCUACACACCAUGAAUGUGGAACUAAGCCACACAAAUAGCAGUAUGGAGCUGAGCUGCCAAAAGUAUCGUACUGUGCGGUAAAUCGCUAUACAGACAUAUUGCAGUUAAAACUGCCAAAUCAGAUAAGACUUCCUUCUCUUCAUAUCCUAAACCCAAAAUCAUAAUGCAAAUGCAAGAAUGCACACCAAAUACUGUCAAUUACACAGACGCAGAAGCUCGCAAUUAAUCAGUCAGUUAUAGAAUCGAUGUACACAAUUUCCAAACAGUCACACACACCCACAUCACUUAACCACUAAAGCAGACAGAUAUUUGUUAGGCAAUAUCACAUUAACGAACCACUUAACUAUUGCAACGAUUGAAUAAACCAGAUAAUUCUAAGUUAAAACAGAGUUCUGACUACCCUUACUAAGACCUAGCCAAGGGUCAGAAGACACAGAACCAUAAACAGGUUAGAAAUCAACAUAAUACAAAAAUUUGGCAAGGCAAGACCACAUGGCCGUGUGGAAUUGCCCAGGCUGUGUGGGGGUCUACAGGCCCAUGUGGAGGCUACACACGCCCAUGUGAAGGCCCCACACGCUCGUGUGAGUAGAGUGUAAUUCACUCUCUAAAAGUGCUAAAAAUUAAGAGUAGAGGCAACACGGCCAUGUGGAGCCUCAUACCCCCGUGUGGGACACAUGCCCGUAUGACACCAAAAAUUAUCAAAAACCUUAAAUUCCCAAACACACAUGCCCGUGUGCCCAGGGGACACUGUCAUGUGAAAAUCGACUAAUUUUCCCAAAUCUACUAUAUGGCCGUGUGGCCAAGCUGUGUGGCACCUAAUGUUACCCGAAAACCCUAAUUCCUAAUUCCAUACGCUCGUGUGGCCACCCAUAUGGCCACGAAACCAAUUUAAACAGCUUGGAAAACAUGAAUUUUGACAUCAAAUGAUCUUUAACCUCUAACAGUGCAAAAACACACCUUAACCAGUAGAAUUUUUACGCAAAACAACAACAAUUGACACUUCAAACAAAAACCCACAAACCAUGUCGAAAUUUACAAAACCAAAUCAGAAUUUUGGCAAUAACAAAAAGGAAAAUUUUUUGAACCCACACCUUAAUUCGCGAUAACAACCACCAAAAUCGUUUGAUUCGCUCCUCCAAACCGAUUCAAAAACCAUAAUUUAACAUAUCAAUUUAUAAAAACUUCAGUUUAACAGUAAAAGAAAAUGAAAGGAAUUCUAUGUAAACCCAAAAACGAAACUUACCUCUUCCACUUCUAAAAAAUUGAAUACACAUAGAAAAACUCCCUCAACAGACAGCAAUUAACAUAAGAAACAACGAAUUAAAAGAAAUGAUUUAUUUUUGGGAAAAAAAGUAAAAUAAAAAAAUAAAAAAUGGUUUACAGAGAACUCAAACCGUUGGAAAACGUGGAUUUGUUGAGCUUUUUAUUAUCCCCCAAAAAUAAAAUAAAAAAAGUGAUAAAUAAAUAUCUCAAACUUAAAACAAAUUUAAGACAAAAAGAAAUAAAUAAUCCCUCAAAAUACAUACAUGAGGAUUCGAACCUAGAACCCAAAGGUACACCACCACUCAUUCAACUAUCAGACCGGCAGGCCCAUUCUAACAACAAAACGCGAAGACAAACCCAAAUAUCUGAUCUAGCCACUGACCUUACCUACAAAUCUCAAAACUUCUAACCCCAAAUCUGAGGUGUUACAACCCACCCGUGUCUCUUGCACUUGUGUCUCUAAGUCAUGAAUUAGUAAGUUACACGGCCUAGACACACGCUCGUACCCCUGGCUCGUGUGAACCUUGUACUAAACAUUUCUACACAUGGCCUGAACAGAUGCUUAUGUCCUUAGCCUGUGUGUCUAUAAUUCAUGAACAGUAGGUUAUAUGGUUUGCCACACGGCCGUGUGGUUCACAGGCCUGCCACACGGUCGUGUGGCAUCGACAGUCAUGCUUUUUGACAUUCGAAACUCAUAGGAGGUCGGGUUUUCGGUACACACCUGAAGUAGUUUUGAAGUUGGGUCAAGGUGGAGUACUCAUGAGACCUAAAAUGAACAUUAAAUAACCAAUCAAACGAAUAAAAUGACAAAAAUCACAUAAUUUAAUACUCAACCACUUAUGUUAAAACUUUGACGCGAACUUCCAACAAAACCAACACUUACUGACAACUCGACGAAACUAUCUCGAAAUAGUGCAAGGAGGAUUACCUCCCUCAGUAUUCUCGCCUAAAGAAAAUAGAUCAAUGAUCACUUAGCAAAGAAUUCAAGUAAAACAAACAUAGAAACCCCAUUUCUACACACAUAAAUAAAAAAUCAACAGAAACUUCACGGAACCACAAGAAUUCACGACAGAACUUACAUAGAGAUCUUCCAAUGACACAAUGAACAACUUAAACCCUCAAUUAGCUCUGAUAGCCACUUCACCAAUGAAAUUUAAAAAAAUAAAAGAAAGGUGAAAUAGGAAAGAAAAAGAAAGAGAAGAGAAAUGGAGAAGGAAAGGAAUACGUUAACUCUUAUUUUAACCACCCAUUAGACUUCUAACAUUUAGUAAGAUAUUUGUAACGCAUACAUCAAGACUUGAACACAAGACCAAAGAAAUUACAGAAGCCUAACCAUUGAAUUAACAAACUCAUUCUUAACAUAGAUUUGCAUAGAAUUAAACUAAAGUCAGCGGCUCAAGAUUAGAGGUUAAUCUAAAAUAAAGUAGAAAAACUUCCUAAAAACACUACUUAAACCCCUAACCUCAAACACAUAUACAAAGCACAUUACCACAAAUACAAAGACUUAAUUAUGACAAAAUUCAACAAUCAGACAUUCAAAUUUUUAGGGUGUUAUAGAUCAAUUUUUAAUUUUAGUAUCUAUUUAACUUUGAUGACUAAACUAUCAAUUUUCGUAUUACUCUUUUUUAUUAUUUUGAGCAAUGAAGCUUAUUUAACAUUUCAUCAUGCUUAAUUCAGUAGAUGUUAUUAAUUAGAAAAUGAUUUAAAAAUUAUCUUUUAAGAAAUUAAUCUAUAAACUAUAUAUAAAUAGAAGUUCUAAAAACAUUCUCUGUUGAUAUGUGCCCUCAUAUUUCUAUUUUGAUUCUUAUAUUAAUUUCUAACAUAAAUUAGUUACUAUACUUUAAUCCUUUUGUAAUAUUAUUAGUUAAUCCAAAUAAUUAACAUAAUUAAUUAUUUAGAUUAAAAAAUGAUAUAAAUUCCGAUAAAAAAUACUAUUUUAACAAGAAAAGUUAUAUUUUGACAUUAUGAGUUGGAACAAGUGUUUUAAAAAAUCUACGAUAGCUACUAAAAUCAUUAAGGAUGUUAAUUAUUCAGACUAAUUAAUGAUAUUAUAAUAAUAGUGGGAGAAAUUUAGAUAAAAGGUUAAAUCACUAUUUUGGGCCUAAACUUGACAACUAUUCCUACAUUGGGGCCUAAACUUUUUUUGUCCAAGUUAGGCCCUAAACUUCACAAUUGUUCCCACAUUGAGGCCAACUUUUCUUUUGUUCAAGUUAAUCCUUGAACUUGAAAAUAAACUAAGAAAUUAUUUAUCCAUACAAAAUAAUUGAAAUGAUAGCAUUUUAAAAAUGAAUCAAAUGGAAACAACUUUAAAAUUAUCAUUAAGUCCAAACAAAAUAUGGUGUCUACAGUCUUCAAUUUUUAUUAAUUAUAUAAUGUACCUACAUGAGUUAGUCCAUGACAUAGUUUUCGAAGAUAACCCAUAUAUGUUUCCACAAGAUAUGAAAAUUAGCAAAUCUAAAUUGGUACGAUGUUAUGCAUGAUAAGACGAAAUCCAUGUUGGAUAAUCAAGUUUGGGAUCUUGUUGAGUUGCCGCAAGAAAAAAAAAACCAAUUGGUUGAAAGUAGAUUUUUAAGACAAAACAGGAUUAGUUAGGCUAUAUUGUGAGAUACAAGUCUAGCCUUGUUCCUAAAGAAUUCACUCAUGGGGAGGGGAUUGAUUAUAAAGAGAUAUUUUUUCAUACCUCUAGAAAAACUCUUUCCAUAUCAUUAUGGAACUACUUAUCCAUUUUAACUUAAAUUUCAAGUGCAUGUGAAAACAACUUUCCUUAAUGAGAUUUAGACGAAAAGGUAUAUAGAGAGCAACUUGAUAGGUUCAUCUCAAGUGGUGGUGAGCAUUUUCUUUGCAAGCUCUAAGAGAUUUAUUUAUGAACUCAAGAAAGUCUCCCACCAAUGUUAUUUACAAUCCCAUAGUGUUAUUUCUUCCUUUGGUCUUAUAGAGAAUCUUGUGGAUUAGUGUGUAUAUCACAAUGUUAGUUAGAGCAAAGUCAUCUUUUUUUUUGUAUGUUAAUUAUAGAUGAUAGAAUUUUGUUUAUAAUCAAUUAUAUAGGUUUCCUACAUGUGAUAAAAUAAUUACUCUUCAAAAUUUUAGUAUAAAAGAUAUGGAUGAGGUAUUUUGUGCUAUUGCCAUUUAAAUCCAUAGGGAUAGAUUUUAACACAUGUUAGGAUUAUACUAGGAAGCUUAUAUUAAUAAAAUUUUUAAAAGUUUUAGAUGAGGGCGCAAAGCAUUACACCUAUUGUUAAAGGCUAUAAAUUCCUUGAACCAAUGUCCAAAGCUUGAAUAGAGAAGUAAUAAGGGGAAAAUAUUUCAUAUGUUUAAGUUAUUUGUAGUUUGAUUUGUGCUCGAAGUCUAUACCAAACUUAAUAUUGCAAUUUGUAGGGGGAAUAUUAGGAAGAUAACAAAGCAAUCUUAACUUAGACCAUCAAAAAGUUUCAAGUAAAGUAAUAAGGUAUCUUUAAGGAAUAAAAAAUUACAUGCUUACAUAUGUAACAACCCGUUUUUAGUCAAAUCAGAAUAGUGGUUUUGGGACCAUAAAUCUGAAGUCAAAAUAAUUAUUUUAUUAUUAUUUUAAUGUAUACAGCAUGAUAUUAUGAUUUUUUGAAAAUUUCGUUAAGAAAUUUUAUCAUUUGAAUGCUCAAUUUGAUAAAAAGGACUAAAUCACAUAAAGUGUAAAAGUGGAGUUCUAUUAGCUAAAGGUGUCUAAUAGCUAUGGAAUCUUAAAUUGGAAGUCCUUACAUGGUAAUUAACCCAUUUAUAAAGUUAUUUGACAUUCUUGGGCAUGAAUUAAGUGUUUUAAGUGAUGAAUUAACAAGGUUAAAAUAGUAAAUUAUUAAAUAACUUAGUAAAAAUAAUAGAAACCUAUUAUCAUCUUUAAUUUUCUAUCAUCUUUCACUGAAUAUUGAGAUAUGAAACUCCAUUAAAAGAGCUUCAAGGUUUGGCCAACUAUCCUAGGUGCAUGUAAGUUCAUUUUUGUCCCGUUUUUAAUAAUUUUUAUAUUUUUAAGAUCGUUGCAGUUUAAUCUAGCUAGCCCAGGGACUAAUUUGAAAAACAUUUAAAGGUUUAGGGUUUUUCCAUUGAUGAAUAUAGGUGUAUUUUGAUGCUUGUUGUUAGAUAAACAACAUUUGUAAAGUGAUUUUUGGUAAAAUUGUCAAUUAGGGAUUAAAUUGAGAAAUGUGUCAAUUUUGUGGUAGAAAUGUGAAAUAAAUGAAAAUUUUGAGCUGCUAGGGACUUAAUUGAUAUUCGGAUGUAAUGGGUUGAAAUUUAAUUUCAUGAAUUUGUAUUUUUAUAAGCUAAGGACUAAAUUGUAAAAAUGUUGAAAUAUUAGGGGCAAAAGUGUAAAGUUUCCAUAAAAUGCUUUAUGGGCUAAAUUGAAUAGAAUGAUAAUUAAAUAAGUUUAUUUUGAUUACAUAUAGAUCAAGAAAAGCGAAGUUCGAAUUUAGAUCGGGGGAAAACAAAGUUCUGGAUUAGUCGAUCUACCUCGUUGUUUUUGUGAAUCGAGGUAAGUUUGUAUGUUAAUAAGCAUUAUUGUAAUUAUGUUUUAAAUGCUUUAUAAUUGAAUUGUUGAUGAAUAUGAUUGUACGAAAAUGUUCGACGAUGAUUCGGAAAAUGUGAAAUCCCGGUUAAACCUUAGAAAUAGAUUAGGAUACGAAUGACAUGUCAUUAGGGGUUAUGUGAUUUAGGUGCUGGUCCGUACGUCCUACCGAUGGCUGGGUUAUCCAGCGUGUGUUGCGGAUUCUCGUCAACUUGUGUGAGUAGCAUUGUGUAGCUACGUCAUGACCGUUAGCUUGUGUGAAUAGGCCUGUUGAUAGCUCGAUAGUGAGUAUUUGUAACACCCCCAAACCUGGCCUAGACGCUAUGGUCGAAUCUGGCGGCGUCACAAGUGAGUGCUUUUUAGAAAAAACCUUAGCAAGUUAAAAGUUGUCCAAUUUGUUAUCUUUACUUAAGUCGUGAAAUCUCUAUUCCAAAUAUUAAGUGAAAACAUUUCAUUAACACGGAAGCUAAAACAUUAUCAAUUCAUAAAUCAAUAAUUUAACAAAUUAAAAUCCCCAAAAUAAACCCAAAAUAAAUAUUUAAAUAAAGCAGACAAAAUAAAGUGUUACUCAACAAUUCAUAAAUGUCUACCAGUGGUCACCAUCGAGCCCUCCGUCACACCAUCCAUCUACUGCUGGGGAUUACCUAAAUAGAUAAAUAAAUAAAGGGGUGAGUUUUCACAACUCAGUGUGUACAUCCCCACAACCACCAUGCAUACAAAUAGAUAAUAGAAUACAGUUAUUCGGCCUUAGCCAUACAGAUAUCGUAUGCAUAACAGAUCGGAUAUCAGAAGUAUCAUGCCCACCAACCCUGCACACUAUCUCCGUCCAACCCUACACACCAUGUGGGGAUAAAAUCAACCCACCCAUCCCUUCACACCGUAUAUGGGGAUAUAAUCGACCCAUCCAACCCUACACACCAUAAAGUACCGCAUCGCAGCACAUAUCAUAAGUAUGCAGCUUAACUGCCAGAUAACGGGCUUAUGAAGCCUUUCAAAUACUCCUUUCACUUCUUCAGACCCACUCCGAUGCAAUGCAUCAUACAAAUAUGGCAUGUUGUAAUGCAGACAAAUAGAUCAUACAUUUAUUUAUAGUACAGAUCAGAUAAUCAUGCUAAGUAUAUCAUGUGAACACAUACAUCACAAAAUUAAGAGUCUAGAUAAGGCUUACAAACCCUACUUGUAACGCCCCAAUUUUCGGGAAUUCUGUGAAUGUUUGCAAAAUUUCAUGCUUUGAUUUUGUCAUUUGUGAGUGAAAUUAUUAAAUAGGACCUAUGUGAAAAUGUUUGAAAAUGCUAUAGGCUAAAUUGAAGUGGCCAAAUAAAUAGGAGUGCAAAAUAGGAGGAUUUGCAUGACAAACCUCCCAUUUUACAUGAAGUGGCCAGCCAUCAUGUUAUUGUAGACAAAAUGUGCACUUGAUAUCCAUAAUUUAUGGUACAAAUUGAUACAAAUUGAUAAUGGGUUAGGUAAAUGUUUCAUGAUAAUGGGUUAGGUAAAUGUUCUAUGAUGGGAAUUUCAUGUCUUUUGUAUUAAAUAAUUAAAUGGAUGAAAUAUGAAAUUUUAUUAAAAAAAAAGGGGUGAAAAGAACAAAGUUUUGUCCAUCUUUGUUCAUCAUAGCCUAAAGUUAGAGAAGAGAAUGGAGAGGAGAAAGCUCUUGAAUGUUCGGUCACUUGGGGAAGAAAAUUGAAGGUAAGUUCAUGGUAGUUUGCUUUUAUUUUGAGGUUCAUGAGUUCUUCUUGAUUCUACCUUAACUCUUGAAGCAUAUUUUGGUUUUUAGUUGUGUUGUGAGCAUUUAGUCAUGAAUUAAAAUGAAGGAAAUGGUUGUUGUUUCAUGUUCUUUUGAUGAAAAAUGGAAGAUAGGUGAAGUUGAGCCAAACAAAUGAGCAUGCAUGUGCCUUAGAUGUUAAAGGGAAAAAUCGGCUAACAUGUUGUGCUUUAAAAUGAUGAAAUGGAGAUUAUACUUAAGUAAAAUCAUAGAUAUGUGAUGAUUGAUUGGUGAUAUACAUGUUUAAAUAACAAGAAUGCAAGUUAGGUGUGAAAGAGUGAUGUGGUAAUAAAUCUGCUUGGGACAGCAGCAGUAUCGUGACUUUGGAAAAUCACCAUAAAUUGUGGGAGAUGAGUUAGAAGCUGCAUAAAUUAUGUAAUUAAAGCUUAAUGAGUCUAGUUUCAAAUGGAAUAAACGAGAACAUAUUUUGAAUUCUGUACAAUGAUAAAUUUGAUUCGUAAUGAAGAGUGGUCAGAUUAGUCAAACAGUGAAACAUGGGAAACUUUGAGAAAAAUAUGGUAUUGAUUGGCUAAACCAAAAAUUCUGAAAAUUUUAUGGAUAGAAGAUAUAUGAGUCUAUUUUCAAGGAAAAUUAACAGAACUUGAUUUGGAGUUUCGUAGCUCCAGUUAUAAAUGAUUUAGUGACUAUUGCUCAGGAAGACAACUUGCAGUGAAAUUAUGAUUAUGUGGUAAACAUUGACAAAAAUUUGUUAAUGAGUUGCUUAUUGUUUUCUUAUAAGCUUACUAUGAUCUGUAGGUGUGGUUGGCCAAAUAUUGUAAGGGGUUAAUACGUAGUUUGUAUUUGAAUAGUUAGAUUAACGUGUUAGUAAUCCAAUUGUAGGCGGUUCGUGUGUGGAUUUCGUUAGCAUAUCGUCGCAAACAGAUGUGUAACUAACACCCUCUUUCUUAGUCUAGAUCGGCAAAAGUCAAAAAUCAGAAAUGUCGAAACCGGUAUUUUGUAGAUUUGCGAGUGUGCGAAUGCUCGUGAGGUAAAUCGAUUAAUGUUUUUGAUAAGCUGCAAUGUUUGGACUGCAAAGUGCUUGAUUUCUGUGCCCUCGAUAUUUUUGGGCUUAAUGGGCCAACGGGCCCAAUUUGGUAAGAACCCUCGGUACGUGAUUCUGUUAGUACGUGAAAGGUAGGAAUAUGCAUGAAAAACCCUAAAAUAUAUAAAUUAUUGAAAUACCUUUAAAAAUGGAAAAUUUACAGUUUUACCCCUAGGAGAUAAAUUACCGAAAUACCCCUUGUGUUAAAUUGACCUAAAUGCAUGUUUGACUGUUGUUAUUUACUGCAUGUCAUGUUGUUAUUAUCUGAUGCAUGGGAUUGGGAUAUUGACGGAGGAAGUACUGAAAGUGGCUUGUCCACGUACUGGAGGCUUUGCCUCAAUUUACUGUUAACUGAGCAGCAAGGCUGCAACUGUGGAGUGUUGGGCUGGGUGGGUUGAGCUAUUCCCCACAUGGAGUGUAUGGCUGGUACGGGUGUAGUGUAGUGCUUGGUGGGUUGAGUAGUCUCCCCAAAUGGGCUUGCAUAUGUUUAUUGAUGUUGCAUGUAUUUUGAAAUGGGCCUAUGGGCCAUACUGUUAUCUGAAUAAGGGGCUAAGGCCCAGUUUAUUGUAAUCUGAAAAGGGCUCUGGCCCAGUAUCACUGUUACCUGAAUGGGCUUAGGCCCAAUGGGCUUGAGCUGACUUGGGCUUUGAAUGGGUUUUCCUUACACACUGAGUUUCCCCAAACUCACCCCUUCUUUAACCUUGUAGGUGAGCCUUGAUGUGGGUGACUUGGAGCCGGAGGGGAUUCAGAGUGGCCACGGUGAAUACUUUUGGGUUUGAAAAAGAGACUGGUUUUCUUAAGUUAUUUUUAAUUACUAUUUAAUUUUUGGGUUGUAAAAAGGCCAUUUUAACUUUACUUUCUUCUUUGAUUUUCUGGGAUUAUAUUAUUUUAAACAACUUUAAAUUGAUGGAUACUAAUUCAAAUGGGCUAGACUUAAGGCGUGAUUUCAAAAUGAUACUUGUUUUUUUUUUAAAAUAACACGACGUCACGAAUAUUCGAUUUACCAAAGAUAAUCACUCAAAGAAAUUUCAACUUGUUAUAACCAAGUGUGGCAAUGGAUGUGGGCAUGUCUAGGAUUGGAUCCAAUCGAAGAGCUUGGUACUUAAGCAGCCUUGAUGGCUCACCUCCUCUGUUAUGGAUACCUACCUAGUGCCCAGCUUCCAUUCACUUGGUUAGUUUGACAAAAGUCAGCUUUUAAAACACUGAAAAGGGAACACGGGUUUUUGACUUCAAUGUGGCACGUCGGAUUCAGGCUUAACGUCUGGGCCGGGUUUGGGGUGCAACACUACUACAGGUCACAGUCGACUUGGGCGACCCGUGCAACCUUACAGGACAUUUCAGAUUAAAAGGGCUCACACUCCCGUGUGCCUUGCCCGUGUGGUUCACACGGCCUGGCCCAAAUUUCGACACGCCCGUGUAGUUCACCCGUGUAGGCUCACACGCCUGUGUGGCCCACACGGCCCCUUUGCCUGAGGCCGUGCCUCGCAAACGACCUUCAACCAUCACAUGCCCAUGUCUGUCGUACCUGGCUAGCGCGCGCACGACCUAGCUCAUCAGUGACACGCCCGUGUCUCGUGACACAAGCUACCACACGGGUAAACCACACGCUCGUUUGGCGUCGACAGGGCACUUUUCGGCUUUCGUCGAAACUCAUUUUCUACGUAAUGGGAGUACACACCUGGUUCAUUUUCGCUUCUAAUCCAACCACGAGCACUACAAAGCCUAAAAUCGACAAUACUGAGCCUAAAAUUAGUCUCUUAAGUCAGAUUGUUAAGAAUAGGUAAAUCCCAAAACUAGAGAUCUACUUACCUUCAACGAAUAACGGUGACUCCUCGCUGUUAAGAGCUCGGUUAAUGAUCCACAGACCCUAGAAUAUUCCUUAAAUAGUAACCAAAAUCCCUCUUAAACAAUCUCCAAGGAAAUCCCUUAACUUUUAUUAAAAACCAAACUUACCGAACUGACGAAAUCACUAGCAACACGCCACAACUAAUCGAAAAAGAAGAAAACGAAGGAGAAGAAAAACGGAGAAGAAGGGAAAAUGAAGAAAAGUUCGUCAACUAGGGCUUGGAAGAGGAAGAAUGGCAGAGAAAAUAUUUUUCCAAAAAGAAGGAAAUAAGAAAACCCCUAAUUUUUCCUAAAGCCCUCAACUCAGAAUUUUAAUAAUACCCAACGCUUAGCCAAAACUUGUAGCAAAAUAAAUCGAAAGCCACUGCAAGGAUUCGAACUCAGGACCUUGAGCAGCCUGACACUACUCUUAACCAUUAGACCAAUAGGUCCAUCCUGUUAAGUUUUUACCAUCAAUUCCUUAUAAGCCCACUGACCUAGAGUCAGGUUUUACUCAAAUAAAACCCAAAAUUUAGCCCAAGUUAAAACUUGAACUUGGGACCUCCCAAACACACCCUAAAGCACAUAACCUAUUAAACCAUAUAUAUAUAUAUAUGCCAAAAAGAAUCAAAACAAAAGUUUCGAUGCUUCCAUGCUCAACAAUCACAAAAGCCGAAAUUACAGAAAUUUGGGGCGUUACAGUAUUAUAUGUUAUAUGAGAUUGAGAUAGCUUCGACUAUGUAUUGGCAUUUAGGGUGAGAGAUUCCCGAGUAUUUGAUAGUAUUCCGAAUGAUUCAACGGGUAUAUCAAAGAUAUGAAAUGGUGAGAAGUAGAUACGUAUCAGUACAUGUAUGUACGAAAAUUAUAUGAGCAUUGAAACUAUGAAAGUUGUGAGAUCUUGAUUAAUUAUGUGAUUGAAUAUAUGUUAACCUUAUAAUUACAUGAUUUUGAGGUAUAUUAUGUUAUAUUACUUGAAUGGUGAUUAAAUGGUGAGUGUACUUAUUAACUAUACGAACUAAGCUUUAUAGUUUACUCUGUUUACUUUUCCGUGUUUUAAAAUGUAAUUGAAGCUUGCUCAGAUUUGGGAAUCGUCAGAGAUCUCAUCACACUCUCAAGCUAUCACUUUGGUACUUUUGAACUUAUGUUUUGGUUAUAUGGCAUGUAUAGGAAUUAUGGUCAUUUUAGUUUAUGGUUUGGUAAUGAAUUUAGCCAUUUGAAGUGGCUUGUAAAUGUUAAGUGUUUGGUUUUGUGUAUAGCCAUGAGAGUUGGAUUAAUUUGGUAUAUUUGGUAAUGUAUAUAUAUGAGCAAAUAGCCUUAGUUAUGCAUUUGGUAAUUGAUAUAUAAAUGCUAGUGGUGAAUGCUUGUGAUUUAGGUAAAGUGAUGUUUAAAUGAAAGACCAUAUAUGAAGUUAGCUAGUUAAGUAAAUUGAGAAUGUGAGUUUGGCAUAAAAUUGAAUAGCCUAAUGUGGUACUUGUGUGCCUUGUUGUUUUUGGUAUGGAAAUGGUAUGAAUUAUGUUUGGUUGAGGUUGGUUGAAUGCCUAUUUAUGCCAUAUUAUGUGCCAAUUGGAUUGUAUAGGUAUAUGCAAAUUUGGGUGAGAAGAUGGCUUGGUACGGGCAGAAACACGGGCAUAUGUCUCAGCCGUGUGUGACAUACGGUCUGGUGACACGGCUGUGUGUCCCCUAGUAUUUAAUUAGAAACCAAGUCAAUAAGCUCUACACAGCCCAGCUCACGGGCGUGUGACUUGGCUAUGUGGCAUAAGUCAGAAUAGCCCACAGGAUUGGCACGGCCUAGCACACGGCCUAGCACACGGGCGUGUGAGACCAUUUCAAAGGCCAUACAGGUUGGUCACACGGGUGUGUGAUUGGCCAUGCGACCCAAGUUAAAGAGUUACAAAGGGUCGGAAACGGGCUGGGACACGGCCAUGUGAUUUCAUUUCGAAUGUCCACACGGCCUGUGACACAGGCGUAUCUUUGGCUGUGUAAGACACACAGUCAAGCCACACGGGCGUGUGUCCACUGUAUUUUGAAAAUUUUUCUAUGUUUUCUGAAAAAUUUUGUAACGCCCUAAAUUUCCGAGAAUUCUAUAAAGGUUGUAAAAUUUAAAAUUCUGUGUUCUGCUUGUUAUGUGUAGGAUUAAUCAUGUUGGUGGGCCUCUAGAAGGCCCAAGCUUAGGAUAAAACCCGGUAGUUUUAAUUAAUUUUAAAUCUGUAGGGGAAAGGGGUUCUGAUAAAUUGGGCUUUUUAGGAAUUAUUUGUGAAAAAUGGAUCACAAGGAAGCAUGUGGUAAAGUGGCUAAGUGACGCCACUGGGAAGGAUGUUAGUGGCGUGUGGAAGCUUGGGGAGGACCCAGGUUCAAGUCACAAUGACAGCAAAUUAAGUGAUUAAUUUUUUAUGUACAGGAAAGGGAAGUAAUGGAACUGAAAUAAAAGUCUGUCAGGAAGAGUUUAAGAAGGUAAGGAGAUUGAAUAAGGAUAAAUAUAAGGGAGGAAAUCUAGGAGCUGAUCAAGGAGCAAGAGGUGGCCGGCCAAGGGACUCUAGCAUGGGAAAUUCGGCUAGGUAUUGUAGUAGUGGGAAUUUCGACAUUUGGGGUGUGUUGUGCCGAAAUUCUGAUCAUCUUUUAUUCUCCUCUUUUCUUUAUUUCUUUUUCUCCAUCUACCUUCUCCUCAUCCUUCUCCAUAGUCGAACCCUUCUAUCUCUUUACUCUUCAUCACAUCCUUAAUCUUUUUAUUUUUAGCCUUAUAAGCCGAACAUCAUAAAAAGCUGAAAUCCCGAAAGCUUAUUCUUUUGUGCCGAUUUCUUAUAACCAAAACCACAUCUCUUCCCUUCAUCAUUUGUGGCCGAUUCACCAGCCCUCUAAAACCUCAAGUUUUGACGAUAAGACCAUAGCAAGACCCUCUCGUUUUACCUUUCUAAACACAAGUUGCAAAAAAACCGAAAAACCCUACAUUAAAAGGGACUUGGCCGAAUACUGAAGUCACUGAAAUAUCGACUUUUGUUAUCAUCUGAGGGCUUAGAUCUACAUCGGGAUCGAGUGGGGAACUCAUUGGAAUCAGUCACUAAGGAAUCGGUGGUAAGUCUUGGGCAAAACUUAGUCUUCUUACAUAUUUUAGGAAAAACUGAAAUCCCUAAAAGUUAGGGAGGUUGUCGAUUUGGACUUGUAACCCUGAGGGGUCGUAAUAACUAUUUUGUUUUGGUAAUAGCGUGAUUUAGAGGCGGUUGAUCAAGGGCUUGGAUAGGUGGAACGAUCGGAUCUUUGGAGUUAACCAUAUUUCGGCAGUAAGGUGAGAGCAAUAAGGGUUUUAGGCAUGUUUGGCCGAAUGUGGUAAGGGACUAUAUACUCAAUUUUAUUUCGAUAUUUGGAGUAAUAUUAAGUGAUUCAAUUGUAGGCAGUUCGUGUGUAGAUCUCGACGAGGAAAUCCCAAAAAUAGGUGUGUAACUGACACCCUUUCAUAGGCUAGACCGGCAAAAGCCGAAAAGCCGAAAUGCCGAAAAACUGGUAUUUUGGGCACUUGCGAGUGUGCGAAUGCUUGUAAGACGUAUGGGUAAUUAUUACUGGUAAUCAAAAGUGAUAAAACUGCAGUACGCGCGAUUUCGUGCGUUUUGAUAUUUUGGGCUUAAUGGGCCAAAACUGGGUUAAUGGGCCAACGGGCCCAAUUCGGUAAGAACGCUCGGUAAGUGUUUCUGGCUAAACGUAAUGGCUACGAUAUGCAUGAAAACCUUAGAAAUAGUUAGAUUUACUAGAAUACCCCUAUGUAUGCAAAAUUACCAUUAUACCCUUAUGUGUGCAAAUUGACCUUUAUACCCCUAGGGUUAAUUUUGUCUGAAAAGCAUGACGAAUUAAAUCUGUAUGAUGUAUGCCAUGAAUGUAUAUCUGUUGCAUGGGGACAUGGGUUAUAUUAUGGAGAAAGCUUCCUGGUGGCUAUGCCACAAAUUAUCUGUUCUGGUGGCCCUGCCACAAAUUAUCUGUUCUGGUGGCACUGCUACAAAAUAUCUGUAUCUGGUGACUCUGUCACAUUUUCUGUAUCUGGCAGCCAUGCUGCAUAUUUCUGUGGCGUGUAGCGGUUGGGUGGGUCGAGUAGUCUCCCCACAUGGUGAAAGGAUGGUAUGGGGGUGUAUGUGGUUGGAUAUGGUUGGGUUUCUGCAUAAGCAUGAUAUAUCUGUUCUGGUCUGUUCUGGGCCUACGGGCUUUAUUCUGAUAUCUGUUCUGGGCUGAGGCCAACUUAUUCUGUCUCUGUGGUUUGAACUGAUUUAGGCUAUGGUUGGGUUGGAUUACACACUGAGUUUCCCAAAACUCACCCCUUAUUUUCAUCCUCGCAGGUAAUCCACAACCAUAGUGGGCUUGGAGUUGCGAGGGAUUCGGACUGGCCACAUGUUUCUACGAACCUGGUUUCUUUCUGGUGAACUGGACGUCCUUUUAAUUUCAUUUAUGGUUUUGGGUUUUAAGUGUAAUAAGGCCUUUUAAUUAUUUUUUUAUGGUUUUGUUUUACUUUUAUUAUUUUAUUUUAUUAUGAUGAAAAAAUGAUGAUAACUAAGGAAAAUGGAUUAGCUUUAGGACGCGUUUUCAAAAACAUCAAGGGAUUUCAAAAUAACACGAUUACAAGUAAGACUUCCGCUAAGCAAACGUUUUCAAACUUAAUCAUUUUCUUAAGAUAGACAUAACCAGAUGGUUUUUCAAAAUUAUACGAGUCGUUAAGGUGUGGCAAUGGUGGUGUGCAUGUCUAGGAUUAGAUCCGAAGGGAGCUUGGUACUUAAGCAGUCCGACGGACUCACCUCAUCUUCUUCUUGGUUUCCUACCUGGUGCACAGCUUCUAUUCACCUUAACCUGCUUUAAAAGGUAUCUUUUACAACCCCAACUAAGUUUUCCAAACUAAGUAAAACGGAACGUUUUGAACGCAUCGAUGUGGCACACCAGAUCCGGUAAUAACGUCUAGGCCGGGUUUGGAAUGUUACAUUUACUGGUAUCAGAGCCAAGUUGCAACAACUCGGCUGUGGAAUGGGUUUUCAAAAACGAAAAUUUCAAAAAAAAAUCAGUUUUUAAAAAUCUAGACUUCUGAAGGUGGCAUUCCGAAUCUCCAGCCCGAGCCUGUAAGUAUUCUAAAUUUUUCUGAAUUAUCUGUCUGUACUGAAACUUUACUAGAAUACUCUAGAUAGGAUGCUACUGAAACCCUAGAAAAGCUUGCUAAAAGACUGAAACUGUAGCUAGACGUCGAUUCUACGAAAACCAUCUCUGAAUUACUGUUUGAAUCAUAAAACAUUUGUAAUAAUCACUGGAAUGCUAAAAUUAAUGCAUAAAAUUCGUAAUCGGAUAAUACGAUAUGAGUACGCGAACAGCUCGAGGUAGAGGCCGUGGACGAGGCCGAGGAAGAGCCCGAGCGGGAUCUUCAUCUUUGGGAUAUAUGCCAGCAGCAGAAGCACCGGUACCAUCAGCAACGGAAGUAGAAUCAUAUGAUCGUAGUGCCGGGAUGAUGCCCUGUCGCAAGCAAUGCUUCGAGUUCUGGAAAGGGUUGCCGGGGCAAAUUCGGGCAACGAAAUUCGAGGAUCGAUUUCUGAACGACUCCGGGAUAAUGGAGCGGAGAUCUUUAGGGGUGUAUCUGGUGUAGCCCCGAAUGUGGCAGAAUAUUGGUUGGAGGCCACGGAACGAAUUAUGGAUGACUUGGACUGUUCUGUGAAGCAGAAGCUGAAGGGGGCCGUAUCGUUGCUGCGAGAUGAGGCUUAUCAGUGGUGGCUCACCGUGAGGGAUGGAACCCCAGCUGAUAGGGUUACUUGGGAGCUGUUUAAGACAGCCUUUAAAGGAAAGUACGUCGGGGCAAGUUAUGUGGACGCCCGUAGGAAAGAAUUCCUGAAUCUGGUCCAAGGAGGCAAAACUGUUGCUGAGUACGAGGCUGAAUUUCUGAGGCUGAGUAGGUAUGCUGUGGGAAUAGUUGCUACGGAGUAUGAGCGUACCGUUCGCUUUAAGGAUGGACUCAGAGAUGACCUUAAGGUGCUGAUUGCUCCGCAGAGGGAGCGUGACUUCGCGGUUCUGGUGGAAAAAGCUAAGAUCGCUGAGGAGGUAAAGUGUACUGAGAGGCAGAACCGUGAGAAAGACCGGAACCAUUUUCGGAGGGAUUCUGGACCUUCAGGUGGAGCAAACAAGAAUGUCAAAAGGGCGAGAGUAGAGGAGCCAGUUUGAGCCGUUCCGAUGAAUGUGGUUAGACCGCCAAUCUGUGGGGACUGUGGUAAGGUACACCUGGGUGAGUGUAGGAAACGUUCUGGUGCUUGUUUCCGAUGCGGAUCUAUAAAGCACAGAGUUAAGGACUGUCCACAGAGAGCUGAUUAGGCUCAAGUUGCUGUACAGAGGGUUGUUCAACCCAUGAGUGGUGGACCACAACCACCGAGAGGACGUGGACAAGGUAGGGGCAGAAAUGGAAAUGGUUGAGGUCGAGGAGCGCCUGGCAGGGGAGCCGGAAAUGCUGAGGCUUGACAGCCAGCGUUGGUGUAUGCAGCUCGUCGUUGAGAGGAGGGCGACGCACCUGAUGUCAUAACUGGUACGUUCUUAGUUUCUAAUAUGCCGUAUACUACCUUGGUGGAUAUUGGAUCUACUCAUUCUUAUGUUGCGUGCGCCAUAUCUAGGUCUUUGAGAGUGCAUUCUGAGGAGAUAGUGAGUGGGGUAUCUGUGUUAAGUCCUUUGGGUCACUCGGGUAGGGUAGACAAGUGGUAUAAGGAUGUACCCUUAGAAACUCAAGGUAGGAUCUUUCCUGGCAAUCUAAUGGAGUUGUCGUUUGGAGAGUUUGAUCUCAUUCUGGGAAUAGACUGGCUUGUUAAGCAUAAGGCGACUCUGGAUUGUGCUGCUAAGCGAAUGGUGCUAAGGACCACGGAAGGGGAUGAGGUUAUGGUGAUAGGUGAGCGAAGGGACUAUUUGUCUAAUGUGAUAUCGGCAUUGAGGGCUGAAAAGUGGAUUCGAAAAGGUUGUGAGGCCUAUUUGGCAUUUGUAAGUCAAACAGAUGUAGAGGGGCUGACAGUGGAUAAGGUUAGAACUGUAAAAGAGUUCCAAGAUGUCUUUCUGGAGGAGCUUCCGGGAUUGCCUCUAAACUGAGAAGUUGAAUUUGGAAUCGACCUGUUGCCUGGGACAUCACCAGUGUCCGUUGCACCAUAUAGGAUGGCACCGAAAGAGUUAGUAGAGUUAAAGGCGCAAAUUUAAGAAUUGUUGGAUAGGGGCUUUAUUAGGCCAAGUGUAUCUCCAUGGGAAGCACCGGUGCUAUUCGUGAAGAAGAAGGAUGGGACGAUGCGUAUGUGCAUUGACUAUCGCCAGUUGAACAAACUGACGAUUAAGAAUAAGUACCCUCUGCCGAGGAUUGACGAUCUGUUCGAUCAGCUUAAAGGAGCUACUGUAUUUUCCAAUAUCGAUCUUCAAUCUGGAUAUCAUCAGUUAAGGGUCAAGGAAGCAGAUAUUCAUAAGACAGCAUUCAGGACUCGUUAUGGUCAUUAUGAGUUUCUGGUUAUGCCAUUUGGACUAACAAACGCUCCUGCAGCGUUUAUGGAUCUGAUGAAUCGUGUGUUCCAACUAUUUCUGGAUCGGUUCGUGUUCGUCUUUAUUGACGAUAUUCUGGUAUAUUCUGAGACCGAAGCAAAACAUGAUGAGCUUCUCCGCACUGUGUUGCAAGGGUUAAGGGAGAAGGAACUUUAUGCGAAGUUCAGCAAGUGUGAGUUCUGGUUGAGGGAGGUAACCUUUUUGGGGCAUGUGGUCUCUGCAGAGGGGAUUAGAGUGGACCCUCGAAAGAUUGAAGCAAUUUUGGAAUGGAAGCCACCUAGGUCGGUUUCAGAAAUUUGAAGUUUCCUAGGAUUGGCAGGUUACUACAGAAGGUUUAUGGAAGGUUUUUCGGUGAUGGCAGCACCUCUCACAAAACUCAUAAGGAAAGGAGUACCGUUUGUAUGGACGGAGAAGCAGCAAGAAGCUUUUGAGAGGUUGAAGAAAGUUCUGACUGAAGCACCUAUGUUAAUUCAACCAGAGUCUGGGAAAGAUUUUACUGUGUACAGUGAUGCAUCACACGUAGGUUUGGGUUGUGUGUUGAUGCAAGAGGGUAAGGUAGUUGCUUAUGCGUCUCGACAACUUAAGCCUCACAAAGGGAACUAUCCUACUCAUGAUUUGGAGUUAGCAGCAGUGAUCUUUGCGCUUAAAAUUUGGAGACACUACUUGUAUGGGGAAAGGUGUAUUAUAUACACAGAUCAUAAGAGUCUCAAGUAUUUGCUGACUCAGAAGGAACUGAACCUUAGGCAAAGGAGAUGGAUCGAGUUGCUUAAGGAUUAUGAUUGUUCAAUCGAAUAUCACCCAGGCAAGGCUAAUGUGGUGGCCGAUGCUCUAAGUCGUAGAGCUGUAUCUGAUCUGAGAGCAAUGUUUGCUCGUCUAAGUCUGUAUUAUGAUGGACGUCUGUUGGCUGAAUUGGAAGCAAUGCCAACCUAGGUGGAUCAGAUUAAGGAAAAGCAGUUGAAAGAUGAGUCUUUGGUCCCUCGUUUUCAACAAGUUAAGGAAGGGGGAACUUCUGAGUUUGGGAAAAUGAUGGUGGGGUCCUGUGUUUUCGAGGAAGAAUUUGUGUUCCGAAGGACUCUGACUUGAGACAGUCAAUUUUGAAGGAUGCUCAUAGGGGACUUUGUGCCAUGCAUCCUGGAGGGAAUAAGUUGUACCAUGACUUGCGAGAACUGUAUCGGUGGCCUAGACUUAAGCGAGAGGUAACUGAAUUUGUGGGGAAAUGUCUGACAUGCCAGCAAGUGGAAGCUGAGCAUCAGUUACCUUCUGAAUUAUUGCAGCCAGUAAAAAUACCACUUUGGAAAUGGGAGAGGGUAACCAUGGACUUUGUGAGUGGACUACCCUUGUCACUAUCGAAGAAAGACUCAAUAUAGGAGAUUGUGGAUAGGUUGACCAAGUCGGCUCAUUUUAUACCUGUCCGCACAGGCUUUUCUCUUCAGAAGUUAGCCAAGUUGUAUGUGGCGGAGAUUGUGCGACUGUAUGGAGUUCCGGUUUCGAUUAUCUCUGAUCGGGAUCCUAGAUUCACAUCUCAGUUUUGGCAAAAGUUGCAUGAGGCGUUGGGAACGCGAUUGAAUUUUAGUACGGCUUUCCAUCCCCAAACUGAUGGUCAGUCGGAAAGAGUUAUCCAGAUUCUGGAAGACAUGUUGAGGGGAUGUGUUAUUGAUUUCCGAGGUAGUUGGGAGGAUUACUUGCCUUUGGCAGAGUUUGCAUACAACAAUAGUUAUCAGUCGAGUAUUCGAAUGGCACCUUAUGAAGCACUGUAUGGGCGAAGGUGUCGAACACCUAGUUGUUGGACUGAACUGGGGGAGCGACAAGUUCUUGGACCUGAGUUGGUGGCAGAUACUGAGGAUAAGGUCAGGUUAAUUAGAGAUCGGUUAAAGGAAGCGUCAGAUAGGCAAAAGUCGUAUGCAGAUCUGAAGCGUAAGGAGAUUGAAUACUCAGUGGGCGAUAUGGUCUUCUUGAAGAUUUCACCUUGGAAGAAGAUACUAAGGUUUGGCAAGAAGGGCAAGUUGAGUCCGCGGUUCAUUGGGCCUUAUCGGGUUUUGAAGCGAGUAGGCCCAGUGGCUUAUCAGUUGGAAUUGCCUCCAGAGCUAGACAGGAUUCACGAUGUUUUUCACGUCUCCAUGUUAAGGCGCUAUCGUUCUGACCCUACUCAUGUCGUGCCGGUUGCAGAAAUUGAGGUGCGAACUGAUUUGACCUUUGAGGAGGAGCCUGUACAAAUAUUGGAUCGAGACGUUAAGGUUCUGAGGAGGAAAUCGGUACCCUUAGUGAAAGUGCUUUGGUGUAACCAUGGCAGAGAAGAAGCUACUUGGGAGCCAGAGGAGGCAAUGCAGCAACAAUACCCUCAUCUGUUCGGAUCAGGUAAAUUUCGAGGACGAAAUUUCUUUAAGGAGGGUAGAGUUGUAACGCCCCAAAUUUCUGGGAAUUCUGUAAAGGUUGUAAAAUUUAAAAUUCUGUGUUCUUCUUGUUAUGUGUAGGAUUAAUCAUGUUGGUGGGCCUCUAGAAGGCCCAAGCUUAGGAUAAAACCCGGUAGUUUUAAUUAAUUUUAAAUCUGUAGGGGAAAGGGGUUCUGAUAAAUUGGGCUUUUUAGGAAUUAUUUGUGAAAAAUGGAUCACAAGGAAGCAUGUGGUAAAGUGGCUAAGUGACGCCACUGGGAAGGAUGUUAGUGGCGUGUGGAAGCUUGGGGAGGACCCAGGUUCAAGUCACAAUGACAGCAAAUUAAGUGAUUAAUUUUUAUGUACAGGAAAGGGAAGUAAUGGAACUGAAAUAAAAGUCUGUCAGGAAGAGUUUAAGAAGGUAAGGGGAUUGAAUAAGGAUAAAGAUAAGGGAGGAAAUCUAGGAGCUGAUCAAGGAGCAAGAGGUGGCCGGCCAAGGGACUCUAGCAUGGGAAAUUCGGCUAGGUAUUGUAGUAGUGGGAAUUUCGGCAUUUGGGAUGUGUUGUGCUGAAAUUCUAAUCAUCUUUUCUUCUCCUCUUUUCUUUAUUUCUUUUUCUCCAUCUACCUUCUCCUCUUCCUUCUCCAUAGCUGAACCCUUCUAUCUCUUUACUCUUCAUCACAUCCUUAAUCUUUUUAUUUUUAGCCUUAUAAGCCGAACAUCAUAAAAAGCCGAAAUCCCGAAAGCUUAUUCUUUUUGUGCCGAUUUCUUAUAACCAAAACCACAUCUCUUCCCUUCAUCAUUUGUGGCCGAUUCACCAGCCCUCUAAAACCUCAAGUUUUGACGACAAGACCAUAGCAAGACCCUCUCGUUUUACCUUUCUAAACACAAGUUGCAAAAAAGCCGAAAAACCCCACAUUAAAAGGGACUUGGCCGAAUACUGAAGUCACUGAAAAAUUGACUUUUGUUAUCAUCUGAGGGCUUAGAUCUACAUCGGGAUCGAGUGGGAAACUCAUUGGAAUCAGUCACUAAGGAAUCGGUGGUAAGUCUUGGCAAAAACUUAGUCUUCUUACAUAUUUUAGGAAAAGCCGAAAUGCCUAAAAGUUAGGGAGGUUGUCGAUUUGGACUUGUAACCCUGAGGGGUUGUAAUAACUAUUUUGUUUUGGUAAUAGCAUGAUUUAGAGGCGGUUGAUCAAGGGCUUGGAUAGGUGGAACGAUCGGAUCUUUGGAGUUAACCAUAUUUCGGCAGUAAGGUAAGAGCAAUAAGGGUUUUAGGCAUGUUUGGCCGAAUGUGGUAAGGGACUAUAUACUCAAUUUUAUUUCGAUAUUUGGAGUAAUAUUAAGUGAUUCAAUUGUAGGCAGUUCGUGUGUAGAUCUCGACGAGGAAAUCCCGAAAACAGGUGUGUAACUGACACCCUUUCAUAGGCUAGACCGGCAAAAGCCGAAAAGCCGAAAUGCCGAAAAACUGGUAUUUUGGGCACUUGCGAGUGUGCGAAUGCUUGUAAGACGUAUGGGUAAUUAUUACUGGUAAUCAAAAGUGAUAAAACUGCAGUGCGCACGAUUUCGUGCGUUUUGAUAUUUUGGGCUUAAUGGGCUAAAACUGGGUUAAUGGGCCAACGGGCCCAAUUCGGUAAAAACGCUCGGUAAGUGUUUCUGGCUAAACGUAAUGGCUACGAUAUGCAUGAAAACCUUAGAAAUAGUUAGAUUUACUAGAAUACCCCUAUGUAUGCAAAAUUACCAUUAUACCUUUAUGUGUGCAAAAUGACCUUUAUACCCCUAGGGUUAAUUUUGUUUGAAAAGCAUGACGAAUUAAAUCUGUAUGAUGUAUGCCAUGAAUGUAUAUCUGUUGCAUGGGGACAUGGGUUAUAUUAUGGAGGAAGCGUCCUGGUGGCUAUGCCACAAAUUAUCUGUUCUGGUGGCACUGCCACAAAAUAUCUGUAUCUGGUGACUCUGUCACAUUUUCUGUAUCUGGCAGCCAUGCUACAUAUUUCUGUGGCGUGUAGCGGUUGGGUGGGUCGAGUAGUCUCCCCACAUGGUGAAAGGAUGGUAUGGGGGUGUAUGUGGUUGGAUAUGGUUGGGUUUCUGCAUAAGCAUGAUAUAUCUGUUCUGGUCUGUUCUGGGCCUACGGGCUUUAUUCUGAUAUCUGUUCUGGGCUGAGCCAACUUAUUCUGUCUCUGUGGUUUGAACUGAUUUAGGCUAUGGUUGGGUUGGAUUACACACUGAGUUUCCCAAAACUCACCCCUUAUUUUCAUCCUCGCAGGUAAUCCACAACCAUAGUGGGCUUGGAGCUGCGAGGGAUUCGGACUGGCCACAUGUUUCUACGAACCUGGUUUCUUUCUGGUGAACUGGACGUCUUUUUUAAUUUCAUUUAUGGUUUUGGGUUUUAAGUGUAAUAAGGCCUUUUAAUUAUUUUUUUAUGGUUUUGUUUUACUUUUAUUAUUUUAUUUUAUUAUGAUGAAGAAAACUAUGAUAACUAAGGAAAAUGGAUUAGCUUUAGGACGCGUUUUCAAAAACAUCAAGGGAUUUCAAAAUAACACGAUUACAAGUAAGACUUCCGCUAAGCAAAUGUUUUCAAACUUAAUCAUUUUCUUAAGAUAGACAUAACCAGACGGUUUUUCAAAAUUAUACGAGUCGUUAAGGUGUGGCAAUGGUGGUGUGCAUGUCUAGGAUUGGAUCCGAAGGGAGCUUGGUACUUAAGCAGUCCGACGGACUCACCUCCUCUUCUUCCUGGUUUCCUACCUGGUGCACAGCUUCUAUUCACCUUAACCUGCUUUAAAAGGUAUCUUUUACAACCCCAACUAAGUUUUCCAAACUAAGUAAAACAAAAAGUUUUGAACGCAUCGAUGUGGCGCACCAGAUCCGGUCAUAAUGUCUAGGCCGGGUUUGGGGUGUUACAAAUUUCUUGAGUUACCGGUUUAGUCCCGAACCACUCCUAAAGCAUGUUUUGGGCAUCGUAGGCUCAUAUUAGGGACGUUAUGAAUGAUUGUGAAUGUUUUAUAUUUGAAAUGGAAAAAAAUGUAUGUCAAGUGUAUGUUCGAUUGUGUUAUAAGUUCAGUAAUGCUUUAUAACCCUAUUCCAGCGACAGAUACAGGUUAGGGGUGUUACAGCAUAUAUAUGAUCUGAUAAUUGAAAAUUGGUCAGGUAUUCAAACUAACUUCAUUAGCUAUGUUGAUUCUUAAAAAUCAAUGAUCGAAAAUGUUUUGUGUUUGUUAGGAUAUCAAUAUCUUAAAAAAAUGUCAUACAAACGUUGGUUAAAAGUUCUACUAUGGAAGCUGAGUUUGUUUCCUAUUUUAAAAGUAAUUCACAAGGUAUUUGAUUGAUAAGUUUCAUUGUGGGGGCUUGAGUUAUUGUUUGUAUUUCUAAGCUGAUAAUAUAUGGUGACAAUAUAAUAGUUGUGUCAUUUGCUAAUAAAUAAAUAAAAAAGAUGUAAGUUAAAGUAGAUACAUCGACACUAAAUUGUAACAGCCCGUUUUUAGGGUUAAUCGGAACAGUAGUUUCGGGACCACAAUUUGAAGUCAAAAUAUUUAUUUUAUUAUUUUAAUAAGAUUUACAGUAUGAUAGAAUGUUUGUGUGAAAAUUUUGUAAAGAAAUUUUACCGUUUGAGUGGUUAAUUAGGUAAAAAGGACUAAAUCGCGUAAAGCGUAAAAUUUCAAUUCUAUAAGUUAAAUGUAUUAAAUGGCUAUGAAAUUAAAUAGUGCAAGUCCUUAAGUGGUAAUUAUCCUAUAAAUGUUGAUAGUGGAAUUCUAUGGCUUGGUAUAAUGGAAAUUUUAAAUGUUAUUAAAGGUUAAAAUGGUAAAAUGGCUAAAAUGAUAAAAUAAUUAAAAUAAAGCCAAAUUAUCAUCUUCAUUAAUUCAUCAUCAAGCGAAUAUGGAAAUGAAAAACUAUGGAAGAAAGCUUGCUAGGUUUCGACCAUGUUGAUGCUCAAUUAAAGGCUCGUUUUUGUCCCGUUUUUAAUAAUUUUUACGUUUUUGAGAUCGUUAUGUAACACCCCCUAAUCCUAAAUCGUCGUCGAAAUAGGGUUACGAGGUAUUACCGGAUAAUUGGAAAAUUUACGAUUAAUAUUCAAAUAAUUAUCGAACAUAUUAUAAUAUAAUCAUAAAUUCAUAUAAAACUUUUGCUAAUUGACUCUUUUUUUUUAAACUCAAUAUAACCCUUUUAUAAAUAUAUAACCUUCCCUACAAUUUCAAACCGGGACCAAUCCAAAAUCAAUAUUUCAACCAAUGCAAUUUCAUGUUUAAUCGUAUUAAAAUCAUACCUAUAACAAUAAUUUGAGAAUUUACUCUAUGAACAUUUAUGUUACGAUUAAAAAUUAAAUUAGAAUUUCAUUCAUCCAUUCUAAAUUUAGCACCAAUUAUACCAUGCAUAUCAUGUAAAUUUUCAUACCAUUUCAUUAGUUUAAACACCAAAAUACCAAAUACCAUUCUUUAGAACAAAAAUUAUAUAGCAUUUUAAAGUGACCAAAUUAACACCUAUGUACAUGCCACUUUUGCCAAAAGAAAAAUACAUCACCGAGUUUUGUGCUGGAGUCGGGAUCGCUUGGAUUCUGAACCGAGACUCUGAAUACCUAUUAACCUGCACACGGAAACAACCAUACGUUGAGUAUUUUAUACUCAGUGGUAUUACUAUAAUUCAAAUUAUAAUAUAAUAACCAAGUAAAUUAAAUCAUUUAACUUUAAAUUUUACCAAACUAAUUCAUAUAUAACUUCCAUUUCUCAAUAUUUACAAUUCAAUUUGGUUUUUCAUUUGUUAGCAUCAUAUACUAUCACAUUGAGCCAUUAUUUAUCUCAUGAACUUUUAGUUCAUGCUUUCUAUUAACAUUUUCAAAUCAUAUUCCACAUUCACAUUUCUUUUCAACGGCUCAACUGAUUCAUUUCAUUCAAUUUAACUUUUCAUUUAAUUACCCCUAUUAACAGACUUGGAAUUUGACGGAUACACAGAUCCAACCAAACACACCAAAUUGGCACUCAGUGCCUCCUCGGAUAGUUCGAAGUAAUAUUUGACACUUAGUGUUUCAUCGGUCUAGUCGAAGUAAAGUUGGUACCCAGUACCUCAUCGAAUCUAUCCGAAGUAAAAUAGUGACACCCAGUGUCUUAUCAACUCGAGGUCGAAGAAUCCCUGAACUCUUCCAAUCCUAUGGCAUGCCAACUAUAUCCGACUCGGCCCGACUAGUUAAUAGGGUAUUCAGUUCACUUUCUCAAUUCAAUAUCACUUUUCAUUAAUAUACAAUUCAAUAUCAACUUUCAGUCAUCUCAAUAUUAACACUUACCUCAUAUUCACUUAUUAAAUAUAAAUAUCAAAAUAAACAUUAAAUAAUGAAUAACUUGAAUUGUAGUAAUACAAACCCGGAUUUCGCGAUUACUCCUGAUAGCUUUCUUCUUUCCUUUUUGUGCCAAUGCCUCGGGUUCUUUGCUAUCUACGAAAAUAAUAAUAAUUUACACUAUUAAUUACAGCACUAAUUAAUAAUAAUAACUGAAUUUCUAUCCAAUUUAUACCUUAAUUCCAAUUUAAUCCUAAUUAACUCAUUUACUUUUCUAACUCAAUUCAUACUUUAUUUCUAUUCAAUUUCCUUCCAUAUUCUACUUAACUAUCUAAUGUUCAUAAUAAAACCCUCAUUUAAAACUUCUUUGAAUUUAAUCCCUACAACAUAAAACUUAUAGCCUAAUUUAAUCCUUUAAUCAAUUCUAAUUUAAAAUUCAUUUAAUUAAAUCCCUAAUUCAUUAUUUUGUUCAACAUGAACUAUGUUAAAAAACCUAAAAACUUCCAAAACCUCAACUAAAUUUCAACAAAACUUUGUUCUAAAACUUUUAAAACAUCAAAAUUAAGAGAAAUAACUUAAUUGACUUACCAAUUAAAGCUUAAAGCUUCCAAACCCUAAUUUUUUUCUUUUUCUUUCUUUUCUUCUUUCUUCCCUUCCACUGUUCGAAUGCUCUCUGUUUCUUUUUAGCUUUGUUUCUUUUGUUUUAUACUUUUUGUUUAUUUUAUUUCAUUUACUUAAUAUUAUUAUUAAUUUAAUUAAUAAUUAUAAUAAAUAUCUAUUUAAUAACAAAUAUUUAAAUUACAAUAGUCACCAUUUAAUUUAUUAUUAAUAAAAAUAUUAUAAUAUAAUGAUUUAAUUAAUAAUUAUCUUUUAACUUAAUAAUAAUAAAUAAUAAAUAUCUAUUUACUAAUUAAAUAAAAAUAUUACAAAUGUACAUACUUAAAUUCAUACACUUGUAUUUUAUCUUUACCAUACACUUGGAAAAAUCAUAAUUAUUAAAUAUUUUUUAAUUUAAUAAUAAUAGAUAAUAAAUAAUAAAUAUCUUAUGCUUAAUUAAUAAGCAAAUUAAAUCUAUAAACUACAAUUAUAUACAUAUUUUAAUUACACAUGUAUUAUUUUAUCACCAUCCAUUUGUCAAAAUCAUAACUUAUUGAUCAUAUAAAAAUCUUAUAAUAUAAUUAUUUUAAAUUAAUUUAAUACAAUUUAUAACUAAAAUAAUAUAUUUAUAAUUUAUAACUUAAAAAAGUUUUUAGAUUUUUUUUGUUUUAAUGUUUUCCGCCUCAUAUACUAAAUGUGGCUUAAUUUCCCAUUUGAUCCUUUAUAAUUUCUUUUAAUUUAUAAUUCAACUUUUACACCUUAUUCUAUUUAGUUCUUUUUCCUAACUUAAUUAGACUAAAUUCACCUAAUUAAAUCCUAAUUAAGCACUCAAAUAAACUCAUAAUUACUUUUAAGAAUUAUUUAUAACUCAGUUUACUAAGACGGAGGCCCUAUAACUCACUUUUUCGGUGCCCAUGAAUUUUGGGUCAUUACACGUUACAGCUUAAUCUAGCUAGCCCGUAUCUUCGAUUUCAAAACUGUUAAAGAUUUUGCAAGUUUCAAUUGAUGAAAAUAUGUAUUCUUUGAUGUUUGAUGAUGAAAUAUGAAAUCUUUUUGUUAGAUACACAAGUUUUAUAAAGUGAUUUUUAGAGAAAAUGGCAAAAAGGGGCUAAAUUGAGACAAUGUGAAAUGUGGUGGUUAAAAGUGUGAACAAAUGAAAAAUAUGGAUUGAUAGUAAUAUAUGGAAAAUUUUGCUAGCUUGGGUUUGUGUUUAAUUUCAUGAAAUUGUGAUUUUAUGUGAUAAGGACUAAAUUGCAAAAAUGUGAAAUAAUAGGGGCAAAAGUGUAGUUUAGCCAAAAUGUGUAAAUUGUGUUAAAUUGAAUGAAUUAAUGAUUAAAUAAAUAAAUUUUGUCAUUAUAUAGAUUGAGAAAAAUGAGAUUCGGAUCUAGAACGGGGGAAAACAAAGUAUCAAAUUAGUCGACCUAAUUCGUCGUUACAGCGAACGAGGUAAGUUCGUAUGCUAAUAAACGUACUUAAAUUGUGUUAUAAAUGCUUAUUUAUUAUUGAAUUGAAUGAUGAAUGAUCAUGAUUACGAGCAAGAAUCAACAAAGUUAUGACAUCUGAAAGUCCCGUACGAACCUAGGAAUAAUAUAGGAUACAAAUGUCAUGACAUUAGGAUUAUCGAGAGGUGAUUACAUGUAAGACCAUGUCUGGGACAUUGGAAUCAAUAUAUGAUUUCGUAUAAGACCCUGUCUGGGACAGUGGCAUCGAUACGUGAUAACAUGUAAGACCAUAUCCGGGAUAUGGCAUUGUACGAGCUAUUGUGAUUUUCGAGUGUCCUUAACGAUUCCAAAUGGUUCAACGGGAAAAGUUAAGAUAAAAAUGAAAGUACAAUCGAAUUAAGUGAUACAGGUACGUACAGAACCUAUAUGAGAAUCAAAUGAAGGUAAUUUGGUAAGUUCUUAGUGUAUCAUGUAUGUGAAAUGAAAAAGAAUUAUGUAUAAGUAUGUUUCAUGCCAAAAUGUGUUUAUUUGGCUAUAAUGAGGUAAGAAUUGAAUGAUAUGUGAGAUAUAAGUUAUAGUUGUUUUAACUAAAUAUACAUAUGGCAUAUAGUGUGCGAAAUACCGUUAUUUGAUGAUAUUUCACAUAAUUCGCUUGGCUAAAGAAAAGGUGAUGGAAAUUAAAUUGUAUAAAGUUUAUAUAUAAUUACUUAUGCAUAUGAAGAUGUGAAUGAAUUGAUAAGAAGUAUUCAAACCAUAUGUGUUUUGAAUGAAUGAACUCAUGAAAAUCUUGAUUAACUACGUGCAUGAAUUCGAGAUAGAAUUGUGCAAUCAUAUAAAUUAUAUCAUGUUUUGAAUACUGGUUUUUAAUGCAACUAUUUAAUAAUAUGAGUUUAUUACCAUACGAGCUUACUAAGCUUUAUAGCUUACUUUGUGUUAUUUUUCUAUGUUUUAUAGUGAUUCCGACGUUUCGCUCGGGUUGGAAGUCGGCGGAGAUCGCAUCACACUAUCCAUUUUUUUUAUUUCGGUAUUUAUACACUUGUGACUUGGUUAUAUGGCAUGUAUAGCCUUUAUGGUUAUUUGAUGAGUACAAUCAAUUUAGUAACUAAUGCCUAUGUGUUUGAUGCAAUUAGCCAUGAGAUGUGGCUUGAAAAUGUUGUUAUUUUGAUGUGUAAAGGAUGCAUUAUGUUAUGGCAUAAUUUUAGUAUACUUGGUGAUGGUUCAAGUUUUUUAUUUGAUUAUUUGAUAAGUAACGAAUAUUUGCUUAUAUAAUGCACGGUUUUAAACUUGAUCAGUGAAUGGUUAGUAGAUGAUUUAUGAGUCAAGAUUAUUGUGUGAUUGAUGAUGAUAAAAUGCAUAUUUGAAAUAGGUUGUAUUGAUGAAUGUGAUAUGUGUUUUGUACAGGAAAUGGUUAUGAUUUGAGUCGAUAAAAUGGAGGGAAUUGUUAUAACAUGUUUGGUGCAUAAAAUAACAUGUUUUGGCUAUCUAUUAAUGUAUUGAAAUGGUGCAAAAUGUUGUGUUUUAGGUAUGCAUGAGGAAGGUCAGAAAUGUGGCUUAAACCAAGCCUAUUUUCACUCCACACGGCUGAGCACACGGAUGUAUGGCUCAACCGUGUGUGACACACGGCCUUGGUACACGGUUGUGUGUCCCCUGGGGUAGUCCUUCGAAUUUAAGUCAGUAUACCCUACAGAAUUGGCACGACCUAGACACAUGGGCGUGUCUACUUGCCGUGUGUGGUACACGAGCUGGCACAUGGGCGUGUGGUUGGCCGUAUGACCUAAGUCAAUAAACUCUCCAGAUUUCCCACAAUCAUGGCACACGGGUGUGUCCUCGGUCGUGUGGUGCAAGUCAGUAUGUAUGCCUUGUUUUCACACGGUCUGUGACAUGGGCGUGUCUGGUGGCCAUGUGAGGCACACGGGCGUGUGACCCCUGAAUACUUGAAAAUUUUAUAAGUUUCCCAAAGUUUGCAAAUGUAAUCGGUUUAGUCCUGAACCACUUCUAAGCAUGUUUUAAUGUCUUAUAGAGCCUUAUAAGGGACAUUGGGAUUAUAUUUGAUUGAUGUUUAUGUGAAAAUGUAUGAUUUGUGUUGUGAUUGAUCAGUAAUGCCUUGUAACCCUAUUCUGACUAUGAAUACGGGUUAGGGGUGCUACAUAAAUACUUAGCAUGUAACACCCUGAAAAUUUCUAUAGUAAGAUAUUAUCCUUAAUAUAGUAAAAUAAGGAAAUAAAGUGACAAGAAGAGGAAAAUUGAGUCAUGUCACUAAGAAGUAUAUUAUGACAUAUUGAUUCAAGAAAGGACUAAAUUGUAAAAGUGAGAAAAGUUUUGUGACCCAAGAGUAAAUACUCAAAAUUUGAAGGGGUAAAGUGUAAAUAUGAAAAAAGUUGAAGGACUAAUAGUGAAAAUAUUUUAAGGGUGGAAUGAUCUAGAAACCAAGGAAAAUUGAUGAAUUAGGACCAAAUUGAAUAGGUGAAGAAUUAUGAGGGACUAAAUUGUAAUUUUACCAAAUUAAGUGAUGACUCAAGAAUGGAAUUUUAAAAGAUCACAAAGGGAAAAAUGGUCAAUUGAAAGAGAGAGAAAUCUAGAAAGUAAUUAUGAUGUUGGUGAUAUUUUAUAAUUAUUUAAUUAAAUAAUUAUUAUUUAUUUAAUAUUUUAAUAAGAUAUUUUAUUAUUUUAUUAUUUUAUUUAGUAUAUAUAUAUAUGUGUGUGUGUGUGUGUGUGUGUGUGUGGAAAAAAACACACACACACACACACCAUCCAUCUUUCCCAUGCAAAACCAACGUGAGAAGAAGAAGAAAAGAAGUUUUCAUUUCUUUACAAUUUGGUCCUUUUACCAAAAAUUACAAUUUUCACCCAAAAAUCAAAAGAAUUUCCAUAGCUACCAAGAGAGAAAAAUGUUAAGGAGACUACGGGAAGUUAUAAUAUCAAUUUGGAUUCAAGAAAUGGAAGCUGAAAGAGAGAGAAAAUUAAGAUGAAGAUUGAAAUCAAUAGAACAAGGUAAGAACAUCAUGAUUUCAAUAUAUUUUUAAGUUUGGUAUUAUUAAAAAAGCAUGGAAUUGAUGUUAAUGUAGAGUUUCCUUACAUAUGUUCCUAUGUUCUUGAUAUGUUAGUAAAGAGACAAUAAGAGAAAAUGAUGAGAAAUAGUGUAGAGAAAGAUAAUAAAGGUGUUAUAAACAUGGUAAUUAAUAUCUUGCACUAAAACAGUUCUGGACAGUAGUAGUGGUCUAAUUUUGAAAAAUCACCAAAAAUUGUCGAAAUUGAAUUAUAAGUUGAAUAAAAUAUGAAAUUAAAUUCUAUUGAGUCUAGUUUUUCAUAGAAGAAAUGGUGUAAGCAAUGAAAUUUUAAAUUGUGAGAUAUAAUAAAUUUUAUGAGACAAGGUCAGAAUGAUUUCGGGUUCCCCUAUUCUGAAUUUGGAAAAUUAUAAAAAUUUAGAGAAAAAUAAUUAGGUUCUUAAAGUUAUAUGUUUAAAAUCCCAAAUGAUACUAUUUUCAAUAUAAACAAACAAGAACAUCAUCUAAAUCCUGUACAAUGAGAUAAUUAAUUUUUAGUAAAGAAGGGUCGGAACUAUCAGACAGCAGAACAAGGGUUAUUUUAAAGAAUAAAUUGUACUUAUUGGCUAUACCAAAAAUUCUAAAAAUUUUAUGGUAAGAAGAUACGUAAGUCUAGUUUCAUGGAAAAUUAGCGUAUCUUAAUUUUGAGUUCUUCAUCUCAAGAUAUAAGUAAUUUAGUGACUAUGACGCAAAUGGAUAGUUUUAAAUAUACAUAUAAGUAAAUAGUAAAAUUAUUGAUAAUGUUGCUUAUAGCAUGUUAUAUAAAUAAAGGAUGUGGAAUGGAGAGGAGAGGAGGAAAAUAUGUAUGAAUAUUCAGCUAGUAUGGCUAAUUUGCAUAUUUUAGGCUCAGGGACUAAAUUGAAUAAAAGUAAAAUUUUAUGGAAAAUUUUGUAAAAAUGUUAGAAACGACCAAUUUGAAAGAAAUGAAUUAUUUUAUUAUUUGAAAUUGCAAAAUUGAAUGAAAUUAUUAAUUUAGUUCAAGAUCGGGGAAAAAUAUGUUUUAAGAAUUAAAUUGAAAAGUGAUGAAAUUAUGGAAAAUUUUGAUAUUUUAUAGAAUUCAUGGGUUGUUAUCAAUUUUUAUGAGAAUAACGGCUGGAAAUAAGGAUUAAAUUGCAAGAAUUUUAUUUUUUUUGAGUCUAAGGAUAAAAUCAUCAUUAAUUAAAAGUUUAGGAGUAAAAUGUGUAAAAUGUUAGAGCAUUAAUUGAAUGUAUUAGAACAUGAAAUAAAUGAAAACGACAAUCAAAUUUAUUUAUAAAGAUCCGGAUGACUCGAAUACGAGACUUGAACGUGGAAAAGAAAAGAUAUCGGAUUAAUGAAAUUAUAAACAUGAACAAGCAACGAGGUAAGUUAGUGUAACUUGAAUUGUAUUUUUAAAUACAUGAAAUAUCGAUAUAAUGAAUUACCUGAUUUAUGAUUAUGAAGAAAUGGCAAGAGAAUGAUAUUUAUCAUGACAUGUAAAUAUGUGAUUAUCUUUGAUACGUUGAUACAAGGAAAUUAAAUAUAUUGAGACGAGUAAUAAAUUUAAGUAAAACAUGUUGAGAAAAAAAUAAGUACGUUUAAGGGACAAUAUGUUUGAUUUUAAUUAGUUCCAAAUAUGAAUGUUAGAUGAAAUAAAAUAUCUGAUAAAUAAAUCGGUAACUCUAGUAAUGCUCCGUAACUCUAUUCCGGUGACGGAUUCAGGUUAGGGGCGUUACAUUUAGUGGUAUCAGAGCUAAGGUUUUGUCGAUUUUCGGACCGAAUGUAGCACAUGUGAAGUCUAGAAAUACAUUACAUAACCUGUGAUAGUGUGAUGUCUUCAGACUCUGAUGAGAUUUGUAUUACUAAAAUUCAAUUUUAUUAAUUGUUAUAUUUUAAUUAAAAUGCAUAGUAAGUAAAAUUAGGUAAGCAAUUGAAAUGAUGGUAUUGAUUUGAAUGAAAUUGAUUCAAAAAUGUUUAUGGCUAUUGAAAUUGAAUUGAACAAAUUGGAAAUUAAAAGUUAUUUAAAUUACGUAAUUGAGUUAUGAAUUAUGUGAAUAUUUGAAGGUAUAUUGAUUGGAAACUAAAAGUGAUUUGAAUUGAACCAAAUUGAAUUAAAUAAAGAAAAUAUGUGAAUAUUUGAAAUGUAUAUUGAUUGAAAAGUAAUUAGUGAUUUUAAAUUUGAUUGGACAAUAAAUUAAAAAUAUGAAUUGAAUAAAAAUAAAUUAAAUUAUGAAUAUAUGUAAAUAUGUGAAUUGUGUAUUGAUUAAAAAGUGGUUGGAAUUGAAUCGAAGUAUGAUUAUAUGUGAAUAUCUGAAAUAUGUAUUGGUAUUGAAUUGUAUACUGAUUAGAAAGUGGAAAAGUGAACAUGAAUUGAAUUGAAUUGAAUUGAAUGGAAUGGAAUGGAAUUAUGAUCAAUUGAAAUGUGUAUUGGUUGGAUAUUGAAAUAUGAGAAAUUGUGAUUAAAUUGAAAGUGAAUUUGAAAUAGAAAAAUGAUUUGAAUACCCUAUUAACUAGUCGGAAUGAGUCGGAAUGAGUGGGAUAUAGUUGGCAUGUCAUAGGAUUUGGAAGUGUUCAGGUACUGCGUACCAUACUAGUGUGUUUGGUUGGAAUCCGUAUAUUUGCCAAAGUCCGAGUCUUGUUAAUAGGGGUAAAUAUGAAUAUUAAGUAAAAUUGAAAUGAGAAUUAAAUUCCCUAUUAACUUGUCGGGCUAGUCGGAUAUAAUUAGCAUGUUAUAGGAUUGGAAGAGUACGGGAUUUAUUGGCUUUACCGAUCAGACACUUUAUGUGUUGUAUUUUAGGCACUUAUAUGCUGGUUACUAUUACCGCUACUGCUACUAUGACCGAUUCGGCACUUUGUGUGUCGAAUAUUGUUACUGUUACUGCUACUGCUACUGUUAUAGAUUCGGCACUUUGUGUGUUGAAUAUUGUUACUGUUAUUGCUACUGCUACUGCUACUGUUACUGUUACCGAUUCGGCACUUUGUGUGUCGAAUAUUGUUACUGUUACCGCUAUUGUUACUGUUACUGAUUCGGCAUUUUGUGUGUCGAAUAUUGUUACUGUUAUCGCUACUGCUACUGUUACCGAUUCGGCACUUUCUGUGUAAAAUAUUGUUACUGUUACUGUUACCGAUUCGACACUUUGUGUGUCGAAUACUGUUACCGUUACUGUUUCAGAUUCAGCACUUUGUGUGUUCAAUACUGUUACUGUUACUAUUACUGCUACUGUUAUUGAUUACUGUUCUGGUACUAUGUACCGUUGUAGGCACAAUGUGUCGUACUGGUGUGUUUGGGUUGGAAUCUGUGUAUCCGUCAAAGUCUAGAUUGUUAAUAGGGUGAAUAACUAAAAUGAGAAAAUUAAAUAAAUUUGAUUGAUCGUACUAUUAAAAAAAUAUAUGAUAAAGAAAUUAUGAGUUGAAUUCUCAAUUGAAUUGAAAUGUGAGAUUUGGAGCUUGAACUUAAGGUUCAUGAAUUUGCUAAAAUAUCGGAUUAUUAAUAUUGAAAUCAGUUGAAUAAAUGAAAUGAGAACAUCGAAUGAAUUUGAUCGAUUGAACUAUUGAAAGUAUGAAAAAAAAAAGAAGAAGAAGAAGAAAUAGUGGAAUUAAGAAUUGAAAUGUGAAUUGAAAUUGAGAUAUAAGAUUAAAAGCUUGAACCAAAGGUUCAUGAAUUGAUUAAAGAUAAUAUAGAUGAUAUAUGAUGCCAUAUGAUGAAAGACUAUUGUUGAGAUAUGAAAUUAAAGCAUAAAUUAACACAUAUGACUCAUAUUGUUACAUGUUUGAUGUCUAUUAUUUAUUAUAGUUUUUAUAAUUUGAAUUAUGGUAAUACCACUAAGUAUAGAAAUACUCAGCGUACGGUUGUAUUAAUAUAAUUCAAAUUAUUUAUUAUUAUUAAAAGUUAAAUUUAAAUUAUGUAGAUGGUAAGAGAAGUAUGAGGUAGUGUUAUUGUUGAAUUGAAUGGAAAUUAAAUUGAGUUGUGAAUGAAUUAAAAGUGAAAUUGGAAUUAGAAAGUGAUAUAUGAAGUACAUGAUAAAGAUUAUUAGUGAAUUUUGAAAUAUAUUACAUAUAUUAAAGAAAGAGAAGAUAUAAACAUACAAGUUAUUAGCACAAUGUUUAAAUUGUAAAGUAUGUAAAAGCAUUAUGCAAAAAGUGUAAAAGUGAUAUGCGUGCACAUUGGUACUCACCAAGUGCUCUCUGAUUAAUAGUGCAUAAUAAUACACUUCUAUAUCUGUUCCGUAUAUCCUAAGUGUUCUAUUUAGUCUAUUGGGCCUCUUAUAAAAAGGGAAAUUUUCGUUAUAAGGUAUGUUCGCAAUAUUGAAUUAAAAAUAAAUUGUGAAAUGAAAGGAUAAAAAGGGAAGCAAUUUUCGUUAUAAGGUAUAUUCGCAAUAUUGAAUUAAAAAUAAAUUGUGAAAUGAAAGGAUAAGGAAUGGAUAUAAAUGAUAAACUAGAUAAAUAUUUACACAAAGGAGCUAUAGAAUUAUGGAAAUAAUGAAGUUCAUGAUCAAAAGAAAAUAAGGAAAUUUUGAGGACGAAAAUUCUUUUAACGAGGAGAGAAAUAUAACACCCUGAAAAUUUCUACAGUAAUAUAUUAUCCUUGAUAUAGUAAAAAAAGGAAAUAAAGUGACAAGAAGAGGAAAAUUGAGUUAUGAAGUGACAAGAAGAGGAAAAUUGAGUUAUGUCACUAGGAAGUAUAUUAUGACAUAUUGAUUCAAGAAAGGACUAAAUUGUAAAAGUGAGAAAAGUUUUGUGGCCCAAAAAAAUACUCAAAAUUUGAAGGAGAAAGUGUAAAUAUAAAAAAGUUUAAAGACUAAUAGUGCAAAUAUUUUAAGGGUGGAAUGAUCUAGAAACCAAGGAAAAUUGAUGAAUUAGGACCAAAUUGAAUAGGUGAAGAAUUAUGAAGGACUAAAUUGUAAUUUUACUAAAUUAAGUGAUGACUCAAGAAUGGAAUUUUAAAAGAUCACAAAGGGCAAAAUGGCCAAUUGAAAGAGAGAGAAAUCUAGAAAGUAAUUAUGAUGUUGGUGAUAUUUUAUAAUUAUUUAAUUAAAUAAUUAUUAUUUAUUUAAUAUUUUAAUAAGAUAUUUUAUUAUUUAUUUAGUCUAUAUAUAUAUAUAUGUGUGUGUGUGUGUGUGGGAAAAAAAACACACACACACAGCAUCCGUCUUUCCCAUGCAAAACCAACGUGAGAAGAAGAAGAAGAAGAAAAGAAGUUUUCAUUUCUUUACAAUUUGGUCCUUUUACCAAAAAUUUACCAUUUUCACCCAAAAAUCAAAAGAAUUUCCAUAGCUACCAAGAGAGAAAAAUGUUAAGGAGACUAUGGGAAGUUAGAAUAUCAAGUUGGAUUUAAGAAAUAGAAGCUGAAGGAGAGAGAAAAUCAAGAUGAAGAUUGAAAUCAAUAUAACAAGGUAAGAACAUCAUGAUUUCAAUAUAUUUUUAAGUUUGAUAUUUUUGAAAAAGCAUGGGAUUGAUGUUAAUGUAGAGUUUCCUUACAUAUGUUCCUAUGUUCUUGAUAUGUUAGUGAAGAGAAAAUAAGAGAAAGUGAAGAGAAAUAGUGUAGAGAAAGAUGAUAAGGGUGUUAUAAACAUGGUAAUUUAUAUCUUGCACUAAAACAGUUCUAGACAGUAGCAGUGGUCUAACUUUGAAAAAUCACCAAAAAUUUUGGAAAUUGAAUUAUAAGUUUAAUAAAAUAUUAAAUUAAAGUCUAUUGAGUCUAGUUUUUCACAGAAGAAACAGUGUAAGCAAUGAAAUUUUAAAUUGUGAGAUAUAAUAAAUUUUAUGAGACAAGGUCAGAAUGAUUUCGGGAUCCUCUGUUCUGAAUUUCGAAAAUCAUAAAACAUUGGAGAAAAAUAAUUAGGUUCUUAAAAUUAUAUGUUUAAAAUACCAAAUGAGUCUAUUUUCAAUAUAAACAAACGAGAACAUCAUCCGAAUCUUGUACAAUGAGAUAAUUAAUUUUUAGUAAAAAAGGGUCGGAACUAUUAGACAGCAGAAAAAAGGUAAUUUUAAAGAAUAAACUGUACUUAUUGGCUAUACCAAAAAUUUUGAAAAUUUUAUGGUAAGAAGAUACUUAAGUCUAGUUUCAUGGAAAAUUAGAAGAUCUUAAUUUCGAGUUCUUCAGCUCAAGAUAUAAAUAAUUUAGUGACUAUGACGCAAAUGGACAGUUUUGAAUAUACAUAUAAGUAAAUAGUGAAAUUAUUGAUAAUGUUACUUAUAGCAUGUUAUAUAAAUAAAGGAUGUGGAGUGGAGAGGAUGAGGAGGAAAAUAUGUACGAAUAUUCAGCUAGUAUGACUAAUUUGCAUAUUUUAGGCUCAGGGACUAAAUUGAAUAAAAGUAAAAUUUUAUGGAAAAUUUUGUAAAAAUGUUAGAAAUGACCAAUUUGAAAGAAAUUGAUUAUUUUAUUAUUUUAAAUUGCAAAAUUGAAUGAAAUUAUUAAUUUAGUUCAAGAUCGGGGAAAAACAUGUUUUAAGGAUUAAAUUGAAAAGUGUUGAAAUUAUGGAAAAUUUUGAUAUUUUAUAGAAUUCAUGGGUUGUUAUCAAUUUUUAUGAGAAUAACGGCUGGAAAUAAGGAUUAAAUUGCAAGAAUUUUAUUUUUUUUGAGUCUAAGGAUAAAAUCAUCAUUAAUUAAAAGUUUAGGAGUAAAAUGUGUAAAAUGUUAGAGCAUUAAUUGAAUGUAUUAGAACAUGAAAUAAAUGAAAACGACAAUCAAAUUUAUUUAUAAAGAUCCGGAUGACUCGAAUACGAGACUUGAACGUGGAAAAGAAAAGAUAUCGGAUUAAUGAAAUUAUAAACAUGAACAAGCAACGAGGUAAGUUAGUGUAACUUGAAUUGUAUUUUUAAAUGCAUGAAAUAUCGAUAUAAUGAAUUAUCUGAUUUAUGUUUAUGAAGAAAUGGCAAGAGAAUGAUAUUUAUCAUGACAUGUAAAUAUGUGAUUAUCUUUAAUACGUUGAUAUAAGGAAAUUAAAUAUAUUGAGACGAGUAAUAAAUUCAAGUAAAACAUGUCGAGAAAAAAAUACGUACGUUUAAGGGACAAUAUGUUUGAUUUUAAUUGGUUCCAAAUAUGAACGUUAGAUGAAAUAAAAUAUCUGAUAAAUAAAUCGAUAACUCCGGUAAUGCUCCAUAACUCUAUUCCGGUGAUGGAUUCAGGUUAGAGGCGUUACAUAGCAAUUAGGGAGCAUGCUAAGUUUAUGAAAAUGCUCAAUCAUCUUUUAAAUACACAAAUCUUCAAUAGUUUCACUUUCAUGAUGUUUGUGAUUUAUUUAAAGUUUUCUAAGCAUUCAAAUUCUAUGAUAGUCAAGGUGAUAAAAUUAUUUGUAUUUACAAUGAAAUGCUUGUAUAUGGUUAUAAAUUUAAUUUUGAACAUAUUAUGAAGGCUUGUAUAUGGUUAUAAAUUUAAUUUUGAACAUAUUAUUGAUGUGUUAGCUGAGUUGUUAUCAACCCAUCAACUAUAUUUUAACUUAGUUAAGAAAUUACUAAAAGUUUUUUUUUCUAUAAACUAAGAAAUGUUAUUUUGAGAGUAUUUAUAUCUUUUUUUUUAUUUUGAUAAAUCUAAAAAAAUAGAUACACAUAAUAAAAGAAAAUAGGAUUUGAACCCAAGUCAUCAUAGCUUUUAGGGUAAAUUAUAUUAUUAGUCACUCAAUUAUGAGUAAUUUUUUCUUUGGGUCACUUAACUAAAAAAAAAUACAAUUUGAUCAUUAACAUUUUUCGAAAUUGUUUUUUGGUCACCCAACAUUAAGUGGCUAGCAGUGGCACUUUUUUAAUUGGUAUAAUAAUAAUUAUAGUCCUUAGCUUUUAUACUUUCUGUCAAUUUGACCUUGAUUCUAUACAGGGAUGAAACUAGGGGGGUUGGCAGGGGCCUCGACCACCCUAAAAUGAAAAAAUUUCCAUUUAGGCCCUUUGAAAUUUUUAAAAUUUUAAAUUAUUAAAGGUAAAAGUGUAUUUUGGCCCCCUAAAAAUAAUAAAAAUUUGAUUUAAUCCUUUAAAAGUUAUAAAAAUAGAGGCUAUUAAAAUGGUGAAGUUGUAUUUUUACUAUCGUAAAAAUUACAAUUUAAUUUUGGCCCCAUAAAAAAAUUCCUCUCUUCACCCUUGAUUCUAUAUAAAAAUUUGAAAUUCUUUUUAAAAUUUAAAACUUUCUAAAAAACUUAGAAAAUUCAAAAAUUAAAUCAAAAUAGAUAAAAAUUUCAAAAAGAGAUAAGAGUGAGAAAAUGAGGGGAAAUUGUUGUUCAAGAAAAGAAAAUAGAAAAUAUUCGGAAUAUAACUUAUUUUUACAAUUUGAGUUUUGAAAAAUAAUUUAAAUGAUUUGAAAUUUUUAAUUGAGUUUGAAAAAGAAAAUGUUGUAAUAUAUUUUGUUUUUUGUUUUUAUUUUUGUUAAAAAAUGGCAAUAGAGUCAUUUUCACAAGUCUUUAUAAUAUCAGUUCUGAAAGUUCUUCAAUAACAUGGAACUUAACUUGAAAAUAUUACUAAUUUGGUUCUGAUUUAUUUUUAAUUUGUUAUUAGAUUUUAGUGAAUAAUCAUUUUUGUUCUUCUACCUCAAUAUUAAUCAAUUUUGAGCUUUACUGCAAUAUAAUAUUGAGUUUUCUUGUAUGAACAUUAGUUUUUAAUUAUAUUUAAGAUUUAUACCAGAUUAAUAAUUUAUUAAGAGAUUGACAUUGAUCUAGUUUUUUAUUUGCCUUCAUGAUUUUAUGGCAAUGAUGAAGAUUUUUUGUUACAAUAAUCUAGCAAUAACUUGAUUUUUUACAUAGAUUUUAUUUGAAUUUAAAAAAAAAUUUUGGGUUCUUUAAAUAUUUUUUAUAUAGAAUUAAGGUAAAAUGAAGAGAAAGUAUAAAAAUUGAGAAUUAAAAUUGUUAAUAUUAAUUAAAAAAUAUUAAUAAUUAAAUUGUAACAUUUUUAAUGAAAUGACCAAUACAAAAAUUUACCUUAACUUUAUUAUUUCAACCAAAAUUAAAUUUUAUUUUUCAUUAACUUUUAAUAAAUAUUUUUAAGUAUUUAUAAUUGAUUUUGAACUUUAUAUUAAAUAUCUUCUCAUAUUUCACAGAUGAUUCUUAGCUAUAUGGGAACAAGUAGAAGAGCACGCAGUGAAAGCGGUAAGUAGAAAAGGUCAACAACUAUGGACGACGGAGUGUCUGUAUUUGCACCGUCAUAUGAUUUUCUUGGAAUUAUAAAUAAGCUUAACUCAAUGUCCAAUUCGCAACAAAGGUGAUGUAUAAAUUUGUAAAUUUUACCCCACAUUUUUAAAUUGCUUUUGAAAUUUUUUACAGUGAUUUGGCUCCACAACUACCUCUUCUUUUAUUUUUUAAAUCUGGAAUUUCGAGUAUAGAUUGCAAAUAUAUUUAAUGUUACACUCUUAGUAGUUUUACAAUGUAUAUCAAAAUCUUUUUGAUGCAUAGGGGAAAGAAAAUGAUAUGGCAGGGUUUAAACCUUAAUAUUUAAGGUGUAAAUAAAAAAUUUAACCCCUAUGGCUCUAUGUUAUUUGAAUAUGGGUAAGUGUUUAGUAACCUCAAUAUAAUAUAUAUCAUGUUAUCUGAUUUCUUUUCUUUAGAGGUGAAGUUAGAAAAUUUUUUUAGGAUCCAAAUUAAAUUAUAUAUAUGAAAGUAAAAAUGUAAUUUCAUCAUUUUAAUAACUUAUAUCUUUAUAAUUUUAAAGGAUUAAAUCAAAUUUUUAUCAUUUUUAGGGAACUCAUGUACAAUUUUACCAUUAUUAAUUUAAAAUUUUAUAAAUUAUAAAAGAAUUUAAAUGAAAAUAUUUCCAUUUUAGGGGCGGUACUUUCUUUUUUCUUUUUUCUUUUUUUGAAGUUACAAGUAAUAUUUAGACAGCUUGAUUUCAAAAUUUCUAAAGUCUCAACUUUGUCAUUAAGAUAGUCAAAAUUCAAACCUAAUAAUAUUAGUAUUUAAGUUUCAUCAAGUCAAUUUGAACUCAAAUUAAAUAUUAAAAGGUAAACACUAUUAUAAUUAUUGUUAAAUACAAAUAUCACAUUAGACAAAAAAAAUUAUAUACCAAAAUUAAAUAAAAAUCAAACUCAAAUAAAAAAAAUCCUUUUAAAUUAAACAAUGGAUUUAAUAGAAAUGGAGAAUUUGUUUAAAAGAAAUAAAUAAAAUGAAGAUGAAAGGCAUGAGAUGAAAUUGUUUGGAAUUCUCUGGAAAUCACCUUCUUUUUUAUUUAUCUAUUUUUUGCCAUUGUUAGAAAUUCAUCUAUGAUUUUUUUUUCCUCGAAAUUUCAUGUCGUUGACUGAAGCAGUGACCCGGCCAUAAAUGAAUAGUACAGUCCUAAACUCUAAAGCACCCUGUGGAAUUGAAAUCUAAACUAUAAAUUCAAACACUAAUUCAUAAGCACAUUUUCUGCAACGUUAUUGAAAUUAAUAUACUCUUAAAAUACAUGGGUUUAUGAUAUUUUAUACAAAUUAUUCACAACUCACUCGAUUUUCCAUUCUCCUAAAAAAAAACAUCCAAGAACAAGAUGAAAACAACAGUCAAGGACCCCAUAUAAACCUCUCUUGAAUAUCGCUGCAGUUGCCAAAGCUUGUUUUUGCCCACAAAGUGUCGAUCUUGACAACUCAAGUUAAUUAAUCUGAGGUCCACUGCCGGCGCUUGUGCCUGGCCUUUUAGGAGUAAAGAGAGAAACCAUGGGAAGUUCGCCAUCGUUCGUGUCUCCCUGCAUUAAAGAUACAACGAAAACAACGCCCACAUAAUUGAAAACUUGCAUCUUAAAAUUACAUGCACAACUGAAACAUGCAUCUUAAGUCAAGGACUUGAUUCCGAAAUAGUGGAGACCGAAUGUGACCCACUGCUGGGACAGUUUCAAAGAUAUCAAAGAAAUUAGCUAGCAAGCAAAGCAACAUAUCUUACAGUGGUGGAAGGAGGAGGAUCAGCUGGUGGGUCGAUCACAGUGGUUGAUGGAUCUGAAUUGUCUGUUGAUGAAGGUGGAUCUGGACUUUCCUUCUGAGAAACAGAUUGAUUAUGAUUGGCUUUACUGUCAUCUUCUUUCUUUGGACAUGGAUUAGGGUUUUGUUGGAAUCCAGUUUCAAGUCCCAAACACCUGAGAAUGGCACCUACAACUUCAUGGAAGGACCUGGGGAAGUAAUUAGCUGGAGUUCCUUGCAACGUUACUUCCUUUGCUGAUGAAGUAUCUUCCAUUGCUUUUUGAGACGAGAGAGAUAGCUUCUUCCUUGUACUGCUGCUGGUUUUUAUUAGUCUUCAUAAAUGCCUGGUUCGGUGGACCAGCAAUACUAUUGACGAAAGUACAAAAUUAUCCCCUCCCUUUGUCUUUUUAUUUAUUCAGUGAUGCAAACUAAUGGGACUAUAAAUUCCUUUAACAAUUGCAAUCUGUUUAACCUCAUUCAACAUUUUGUAUAAAACAAACUUUAUUCGAGAUUUGAUUUUUUCUUUUUUUUUACUUUUUGCAUUUUAUUUAAAGAAUAUCAAUAUUUUUCGAUGAUUAUAAUAUUAAAUCAUUCUCUCAUUAUAUAUGUGGUUUAGUUGACAAUAUCGUUAAGUAUAUGAUGAAUUUUUUUUUAAAUAUAAAUAAUAAAAGGCUUCAGUAAUAUUCAAUAUCUGAACUUCGACUUUUUUUGCUAAUUUGGUAUUUAGAAUUUUUUGUUCAAUUUGAUAUUUGAACUUAUGUUUUUUUCUUAAUUUUGUAUUUAAACUUGACAAUUAUUCUUAAUUUAGUACUUAAAAAUGUUAUUUUUUAUGCAUUAGUAAAAAUAAUUAAUUAUGAUCAAUAUGUUGCAGAUCACAUGAAAUUUCAUUUUUUUUAUUUUAAAUGUUCAAUUUUAUUUAUUUAUUUUAUUUUCUUAAUUUAUAAUAAUUAUUUUAUUUUAUUUUGAGUUUUUUAAAACUCUUAUUUUCUUAUUCAAUAUUAAUUAAUUAAGCAUAAUUUAAUGUAUAAUUUUUUAACACAAAUUUUCUCCAAUAGUGAUAUUUAUGUGGAAUUAAGGGCUUUAUGAAGACCGAACUAUAUUUUAAGUAUCCAACCCCUCUUAUAUCAUUCUUGCUAUUAAUGGUAAAAAUAAGCUCAACCCUAAUAAAAAGUAAAUUCCAAGCAUAAUGUUUAGUGAAACAUAGGAAACUCCAAAUGAAUGAAAUAAUUCCUGCCAUUAGAUUCUUGUCAUGUAUCGCAUAUUGGUUAUACAUUAGCUAUUUCUAAAAAAACUAACAUCAUUAGUGUUUGGGAGGUAAUUUGUAUAACAUUUGACAAGUUUAGACCCCAAAUUUAACGUUAAAAAAGCAUAGGAUCAAAUUAUAAAAAAAAGUUGCCAAGUUUAGAUACCAAAUUGGACAAAAAAAAAGCUUAGGUACGAACUUAGAAAAAAAGUGUCAAGUCCAGAAGCCAAAUUGAGUAAAAAAAAAUUUAGGUAUCAAAUUAAGAAAAAAAAGUGUUAAAUUUAGGUGCAUAAUGUAUAUUAAGCCAUAAUAAAAUUAAAUAAGAAGUAAAUAUUUAAAUUGAUAUCAAAUUUAGAGAAUCAAAUUUAUUGUUUACUAUACUUAUAUUAAACUCUUAAUUGAGUUGGUCUCAUGAAUCAAUUAGGUAUUAAUUCAAUUGAGAAAUUACUAAAAUACCUUCUUAUGUACAAAAUAAGUUAUAUUAUUUUUAUCUUUGUACCUUUUAUAGAUUUGAAGCGCAUGACACUAAGUAUGAAUUUGAAGAAACUUUGACCUGAUUGAUAUAGACUUUAUUAUUCAUUAUAUUAUUGAAUUUGUUAUUUUAAAUAUUCUUUUAAUUAUUUUAUUUUUGAUAAAAUAAUAGGAUUGAAACUUGGGGUAACUCAAUUUGAACUUAUAUCAAAUAAGUAUCUGACAAGAGCUUUAACCACUACUUCAUAUAAGUCAAGACUUUUAUUUAUAAAAUUUAUUACAUUUAUACCUUUAUUUAUAAGAUUUAUUACAUUUAUACCAAUAUAGCAAGUGUUAUUUAUUAUAUUAUUGAAUUUUUCAUUUUAAAUAAUCAUUUUUAUUAUUUAUACUUCCUGUCACAGUAGAUCUUUUGGUACCAAAUUUUUUAGACUUUGACCUCAAUUAUUUUAACUGUUUUUAUUUAAUUAAAUUUUAUAAAAUCUAUUUAAAAACUAUUUCAUUAAAUUUUUAUAAUAUAUAUUUAAAUAUUUAUCCGCAAUAAUUUAAAAAAUAAGAGGUUAAAGUUGAAACAUUUUGCCCAUUAAAAUUCAAAAUAUGACAGUUUAGUUGGAUGAAGGAAAUAAUAUUUAUCAUAAUUGUAAAUAAGAUUUUUAAUUUUAUUAAAAUAUUUAGUUAACUAAAUUUACUUGAUAAAAAAUUUAUCAUUUUAUAAAUAUGGAUUUUGACUGUAUUAAAAAACUUUUAUUGAAUGAAUAUAUAUAAUAAUAAAUAAAGUUAAAUUUUAUAUUGAACUUACUGUAUGUUUAAAUUAUUAUAUUUCAUUUCAGAAAAAAAAUAUAAAAACAUAAGUUUAGAGAAACUUUUGAAUUGAUUAAUAUUAAUUUGGGUGUUCAUUAUAUUGUCAUUAUAUAUAUAUUAUUUAUAAGAUUUAUUAUAUUUAUUUUUUGACUUGCCAAUAUAACUUUUGUUUUUCAUUAUACUAUUGGAUUUUUCAUUUUAAAUAUAUAUUUUUAUUUUUAUAAAAUUUAUCUCAUUUAUGAAUAAUUUUAAUUUUACUAAAAUAUAUGGUUUAAUAAAUUUAUUUCAUAAGAAAAUUUAUCAUAUUUAUAUAUAAUAAUUCCAAUUCUAUUAAAGGACUCUUACUAAAGGGAUUUAUAUAAUAAAUAAAAAAGAAAAAAUUAUAAAACUUUGCUUUUAAAUAUUGAUAUUUAAUUAUUUAUAUAAUAAGUAACUUUACAUUUCACAUAAAAAUAUAUCUAUAUAAUUUAAUAUAUAUUAUUUGUGAAUUAUUAUGGUCAAUUUUUUUAUUAUUGAAAAAAGAAGGAAAAUAAAAAUUAAAUAGUGAAGAGUUUAAUUUAAAAUAUAUCAAACUUUUAUAGUUUAUACAAUCCCUUUAAUAAUUUACAAUCCCUUUUAUAGUUUAAUUUACAAUAAAAAUUAAUGAUUUGUUAUUAACACUAUAUCUAAAUUAACAAAAUAAUUAAUAUAUUUUAAUUAUAUUUAUUAAUAAUUAUUUUGAAUAAUAUUAUUUUAUAUUAAUUACAUAAAGUAAAAUUAUAUUUUAAGUACAAAUCCUCCAACUAUGAUUUGAAAUUUUUAAUAUUAUUAAAAAAUUUUGAUCUACAUUAUAUUUAUUUUUUAAUAUGAUACAAAUAUUUUAAUUAUGAUUUAAAUUGUUAAAUAAAAUCAUAUAUAUUGAUUAUGUUCAACCAUUAAGAACUUUUGAGAACAAUUUGUACGAACAACACCCUUGAAAAUGCAUGGUAGAAAAAUAGAGGAGAGAAACAUAUAUCGGAAAGGGAAGGUUUCCCAUUGAAAGAGGAAGAGAAAGGGUGGCUGGCAAGCGACCGGCAGCAUAAAAGAAAGAACCAUAAACCUCAUUUUUUUUACAACCAUACUUAAAAAGUUACCAUGUGUCUAUCACCACUUCUGAAGUUUAAAAAUUGAAAUUAAAUAUUUUCUCUUAAAAAAAUUUAUAUUUAAUCUAUUUAUUUGGAAAUAUAAUAUCCAAAUACUAAUUAAAUAGGGCAAAUUAUACUUAAGGUCACUAAAUUAUUAAUAAAUUUACGUUUUGGUCACUCAACUUUAAAAGUUACAAAAUGAUAAUUGAGCUAUUCGAAAGUUUUCAUUUAAGUCACUAAACUAUUUAAAAAUUUUUAUUUAAGUCAUUGGACUAUUAAGGUUUUUUUUUUUAAGUCUAGAUAACUAGCUCCAAUUAACUAUUUGGUAAUUGAUACAGUGGAUGAAUACCCAUCGACGAGUAGAAGAAGAUAUCCUAAAUCCAAGUCAAUCUGAUUAUUAGUGUUGGAGAUCGGAGAAGAAAACUGUUUAGAUUUUAGUUCACAUAUUCGUGACAUUCAAAGUUGAGACAAUAAUGAGAUAUAUAUAUUUCUAUUGAUAUAGAUGGUACGAACAAAAAAAGUUAUAUAAUAUCAAUUUUAACACUCUCAAUCUGAUGAUUUAAAUGGAAACUUUUAAAAAGUUCAAUAACAAUUUUGUAACUUUUUAAAAUUGAAUGAUUGAAAUAUUAACUUAUAAUAAUUUAAUAAUAUGGAUACAGUUUAUCCAUAAAUUUAAAACUCAAAUUUUAAUAUUUAUAAUUUUGCUCCAAUGUAGAUAUAUUAUUUCUUAAAAAAAAUCCACCAAAAAAAUGGAAAUGUGAAAUCAGGCAUACCAUCCUCUGAUUAUUAAGAAUUAUAAUGAAAAAACUCUUAAACGCAUAUUAAGAGUUCAAAUGUAAGGGACAAGUUAAGAAUGAGGUUGAAAAAACAAAUAAAAAGAAGUUUGUGGGAGAUAAUUAAUAAUAUUAAAGACAGUGGCCAAGUUUGGUACCUACUCCAGAUGUCAGAUGACAGGUAAUUAAUUCAUGGCAGUUAUCUUUCACACCUAACCCACAUAUUAAAGGCUUAAAUUAAAUAUAUGGUAUUAUCAACAAAUGACAAAUAAAUAGAAAAUUCCUCCAUUUUGGAUUUUUAAUUUGUCCUUUCUAUACUGAGAUUUCAGGUCCAAUCUAAGAAGAGUCUCAUGAAUAAAAUAAAACAUACAACUCAUAAAAAGGGUUAUCUUAAAUUAAUAUACAUUUUGAUAUGUUUGAUAUAAAAAUUAAAUAGAUUUAUCAAUAAUGGUUACAGUAAUAAGAUAUAUUGUAAUUUUAGUAAGAGAAUUUAAAUUUAAAUUUUGAAGACGAUAUUAUUGAGAGAAGUAGCCAUAAAUCCUAAAAAUAUUAGUUUCUAUAUAUUGUAAAAUGAACAUUAAGGAUAGCUUGGUUAUACAAAUUAAAAAACGAUUUCAAGUCACUUAAGUAUUUGUUUUACAUUCAUGUUAUAACCAUAAAUAACCAUAUAAAACUCAUCCAUGACAAACAUAUAUUGGAACUAAAGAUCCACACAUCGCAAUUGCCUAUGAUGAAGGGUAUUUUAUAACCCAAAAGAUCAAACAAUUAAGGUGUCAACUCGUGCUACUUUCCUUGAGGAAAGUUAACAACUUUAAACCUUGUAGUAGAUUGUUACUUGAGGAACUUUCAGGAAAUAAUGAAAACCCAUCAGCUAUGAUUCUAGAUUCUGUUCUGACUAGUAAACCAUCAAACAGUCUGUAGAAUAGGAAGCCUCGUCGCAAUGGGAGGGUCCCCAAAAGGAAUGAUUUAUUUGUAAGUGGUAGUAGUGUUUUUAAUAGGGAAACUAUUGAACUCGAAGAUAAUGAUCCUCUCACAUAUGAUGAAGCUAUAUAGAGUGUCGAUUCCAAGCUUUAGGAAGUAACUAUGAAAGUUAAAAUGGAUUUAAUGAAAUCCAAUUCAGUGUGAGAACUUAUAGACUUACCAGAAAGGAUAAAACUCAUAGGGUGUAAAGUGAAUCUACAAGAGGAAAAGAAAUGUGGAAGGAAGGUUGAAACCUACAAGGCUAGACUCGUAGCAAAAGGCUAGACACAGAAAAAAUGUAUCAAUUAUGAGGAAACCUUCUUUCUAGUAGCCAUGCUAAAGCCAAUUCGCAUUCUUUUGUCCAUUGGGGUGACUUUCGAUUUUUUGGUAAAUGGAUGUCAAGAUACCGUUUUUGAAUGACUAUCUUGAAGAAAAUGUUUGUAUGAUGCAACUCACGAGAUAUAUAGUUUAUGGAAACAAGUAUAAAGUUUGUAAGUUGCCAAGGUCCAUAAAUGGACUUAAGUAAGCAACCCGCUCAUGAAAUUAAAUAUUUGAUCAAGUGAUAAAAAGUCCUGGAUUUGAGUAAAACAUUGAUGAACCUUGUGCUUAUAAACGUAUUGUGGAUGGAAAGGUGAUCUUCGUAAUUUUAUAUGUUGAUGAUAUUCUACUCAUUGGGAAUGAUGUAAUUUUAUAUGUUGAUGACAUUCUACUCAUUCGGAAUGAUGUAAGGACAUUGUCAUCGAUUAAAUUGUGGUUAACCCAACAGUCUAGCAUGUAAGAUUUGGGUGAAGCUAAAUAUGUUCUAGGAAUUCAAAUUCUUAAUGAUCGAAAGAUCAAAGUGAUAACUUUGUCUCAACCUUCAUACAUCGAUAAGAAAUUAGAACAUUUUGUGAUGGUCGACUUAAAGAAGGGACACGACCUUCUAUUUCAGGCUUUCAUCUUUCUUUAAAGGAUUGUCCUAAGAUAGAAAAAGAAAGAGAGCAUAUGAGAAAGGUUCCUUAUGGCUCAACAGUAGAAUGUUUCAUAUAUGUUAUCUUGUGCACAUGUCCAGAUAUUUAUUAUGCAAUAGGGAUAGUAAGUAGAUAUCAUGUGAAUCUCAAUCUAAGACAUUAACAAGAAGUUAAGCAUGUACUCAAGUAUUUACGAAGAACGAAUGAUUACAUGCUUGGAUAUUUUGAAGGAGAUUUAACUUCUCUCAGAUUUAUAAAUUUUAACUUCCAAAUGUGUUGAGAAUCGAGGAAAUCGAUAUUGAGCUGUGUCUUUAUCCUAGGCAGUGGCUCUAUAGUGUGGAGAGGUGUCAAGCAAGGUUAUAUUGCUGACUCCACUAUGGAGGCCAAAUCUGUGGCUACUACUAAAGCAACAAAAGAAAUCUAGCUUCAAAAGUUUUUAUAGGUCUCAAAGCCAUUCCUAGUAUGGUGAAAGCUAUUAUACUGGAUUGUGAUAAUAGUGCGACAAUAGCUGAUAGUAAGGAAACAUGAAAUCACAAAACACAUUGGUUGAAAAUGUCAUAUUAUUUGAGAAGCGAUGGUUUGACGAAAUAGUGGAUGUAGUCAAAAUCAGAUUUGAGGACUACCUUGUAGAUCCGUUUACCAAGAUUUUAAUGGUUAGGAGUUUUGAUAAACAUGUAAAAUGUAUGAGAAUGUGAAAUAUGACUCAUCUACUUCACUAGGACAAGUGGAAGAUUAUUGAGAUUUAGUGCCCUAAGUGUAUUUGCCCUAAAUAAAAUUCUAUUACUUAUUAAUAUCAUUUGUAUUUGUCUUCAAUGAUUUUUUCACGCAAAGCAAAAUGUAAGCAAAUAUUGACUCAUUUAUUAUCUAAUAUUUAAUUAAUAUUAAAUUCCAUUAUGUGGUUGGAUCAUAAUGUGAGAAGACAACUUAUAUUAAUAGAUAAUCUAAACAACCCGUAGUCUAAUAGAAAUUGAGAAAAUCGAUUAAAAGACUAUUAUAUCGUCUAUCAAGUCCAAUUGAGAAGAUACCUUGUCUUGGUAUUGGAAUGGAUGAAUCCCAGAAGAUAGAGACAGAGAUGUGAUUGUUUGAAUUGACAAUACAUCGGACAUGACUCAAGUUGAAUUUAUCCUAGAUCUGUUUAUAAAUUUAUUCAACUUAAUCUUGAAUGGAUGAUGAACUAUAUAUACUUGACUCGUAUACUUUGAUGUAUUGAAAGCCUGAGGUCAAAUAGAUAUGGAACCAUAAGCUGAUACGUUGGGUAUACGACUUUUUUAUGAUGUAGCAUCAACCCACAACAAUAGAAUCAUAACCUUAUAAGGUAAAUGAUAUCAUCUCAUUGACAUUACAUGAUUGAUAAAAAGGAACGUGACCACAGGUCAUUUGUCAUAAGACAAAUGAUUUAAUUACUAUGUGUUAGUAAUUGACUUUUUCAUAUCGGAAGACGUAAUGAAAACCAUGAGAUAAAAUAGGAUCAUAUUGAGAAAAAAAAUUUUAUCCCGAAGAGAUUAAGGGUAACACACUUAUGAUAAGGUCAUUGGGUGAGCACUUGAUAAGUAUCUUUUGUAAUGGUAUAUAAUAAGAGAGAGUUCAAUCAAGGUACUAUAGUGAAAUGACUCAAUGAUUAAAUAAUGUUGUAACUAAUAGAUGAAUAGUAGGAACUUAAUUGCAAAUUAUUUAAGCUCUAAUUAUAUAUGUUCAAUUGGUUCCUCUGCUAGCUCAGAAUAGCCCAAAACGGAUUGCAUGUAGAAGCGAUAAUUGUGGAAUGAACGGAAAUGAUAAGUAAGAGAAAUUCAUCACAUGUAUUAAUAUCCACAAUGAAUGAAUUUUCUCACUAAGUACAAAAGAUGACUUAGAAAUUAAUAUAAUUUCUUCGAAUUAUUAUUUAUUAUUUAAUUGAUUGUAAUUAAAUAAUUGAAGUUUACAGUGAGAAUUAAAUUAAUUAGUCAUUGUAGAUUUAUUGAAUGAGGCAAUUAAACCUAUUUCCUUAUAAAUUCUAAAAUGGUAAAAUUAUAAUGACUUUGAUGGAAUUGGAAUUGUAUUAAGAAAAUAAUUUAAUUGAGAAAAUUAAAUUAAUUAAUUAAUUAAUAUUUUUGAAAAACAUAGAAAAUAGCUAUUGGGUUGGAUAAAUCAUAAGUGUUAAAUAAAAAUUUGAAUAACACAUAUAAUUGUACCCAAUACGUAAGUUGGGCCUGAAAUCCCAUCUCAAAGAAUGAGGGAGGGCAAACCCUAGUAUUAUUUUGGAUUGUCGCCGCCCCUUGUAAUGUAAAAUACCAUAUUUUAAUUAAAACAUUAUUAUUUAAUUACCUAGUAAAACUAUGAGCUAACCUAAUUACAUAAGUUUUGAGUAUUCAGUUGAAAAAUAGUUGCAAUUUAUUUUUAGAAUAAAUUCUAUUUUUCGAAAAAGCUUAAAGUUUUUGAUUCUAUAUUAAUAAAAGUUUUCAUUUUGUGUACUUGGUUCGUUUUGAUUGAGCCUACACUCAAAGAAAUACAAGGUUCAAGAAUAACGGGAAGAUUGUUCGAUAGAAAGUCGAGAAAUAACCUUAACGGCCUCAUACAAAGAACAUGCAAUAAUUCAAUUAAGGGUUAAAUACUAUAAAUAUCGCAAGGCUUAGUUUUAAUAAAAGUUUUAAACUUUCGUUGUGCCUAAAAACACUAUUUUCUAAACCAUUUUUUCCAACGCUAUGCAUUGGCAGCCUGUUGUAAACACACCAGAAAGAAACUCCUCCAUGUACAUUACUUGUUUAGUUUUAUUUUUAGUUUUGUUCUUCUUGUUCAUGUUCUUUAUUGAAACAAAAGAGCGGGUUGAAUAUUGGAGGAUAUGCUGUGGGUGAAUUAUCCUUAAAGAUAGUGUUCUACACACCUCAAGUUUUAGUGCUCAAAUUUUCGAAUUCUAUUUUUUGUUUAAUUUUUUCAAUGGUAUUAAGUUUAACAAUCAUAACUAUAGAUCUCGUUGCUACUGUGGAUGCUUUCAUCCCUCCUACUACUACCAAUGCUACCAAUCCUGUUGUUAAUACUACUACUAAUGAUGUUGUGAUGCCGAUGCUACUUCUUGUUUCAUACACUAAGCCUUUCCUUAACAUCUCAAGAAUUGAAGUGUUCGAUGAGGACAAUUUCAAAAGAUGGUAAGAGCACAUCUUCUCAAUGUUAGAUAUGCAUGGUGUUGCCUUCACGCUUCCUAAAUGUAAACUUACAAAUUCUUUUGUUAAACGAUUUAACUUAUGAGGUUAUACUAAUAAGGUAUGUAGGCACAUUAUUACUCUUACACUUAAAUGGUGAAAAAUAAUCCAUUAGCUUAUUCAUAUAUAAUUUCUUCUCUUAAUGCUUCAUUUGAAAACUGUCAUUAAAGUAGAACUUGAUUUUAUUUUACAAAAUGGUACUUAGGAAAUUAGUUGAUUUACCUCAUUUAGAAAAAAAAAACUAAUGGUUGUAAAUAUAUUUUUAAAAGGAAAUCUAAUCUUGAUGGUUCUAUUGAUAAAUAUAAAGCUAGACUAGUUGCAACAGGGUUUUACUCUAAAACAAAACAUAAACUAUUUUAACACUAUUGCUCCUAUAAUUAGAAUUCCUUCUAUUUGUAUUUUAAUUGCUUUGGCUUAUACACAAAUUUUUUAUACAUCAAGUGGAUGUUAAAAUAGCAUGGUUAAACGGAUUGAAAGAAGAAAUUUCAAUUGAACAACUUGAAGGUUGUUAUUUCAAUUCAAGAAACUAAAGUUUGUAAACUCCUCAAAUCCUUGUAUGGCUUGAAACAAACACCUAAAUAUUGGCAUGAGAAAUUAGAUCAAGUAUUGGCAAGCCAUCAUUUCUUUUUCGUUGAAGCAGAUAAAUAUGUUCAUACAAAAUUUAUUAGUAGUGACUGUGUGAUCAUAUGCUUGUAUGCUAUGCUUGUUUUCAGUACUAGUUAUGAGUUAAUAUUUGAAAUAAAGUGUUUUCUUGCUUCUAAAUUUGACAUGAACAAUAUGAGUAAGACAAAUGUUAUAUUGAGUGCUAAAAUCAUAAGGAAAAGUGAUAAUAUAAUGUUAUCACAAAAAUAUUAUGUUGAGAAACUUUUAGAAAAAUUAGACAUUUUGAUGUCAAACUAGUGAAUGCUUAUGAUGCUAAUACUCAAUUAAAAAAUAGAGGUGACCCUAUUGCUCUAUCUAAAUAUGAGCAUAUCAUUAAAAGUUAGAUGCAUUUAAUAAAUUUUACUCGACAUAAUAUAACAUAUAUUGUACGUAGAUUGAACAGAUACAUACAUAGUCCAAAUCAUGAGCAUUAGUCUAGCUAAUGAGAUAUUUAAAAGGUACUAUGAAUUAUGUUAUUUAGUUUAGUGGAUUUCCUACUAUAUUGGAAGGAUAAAGUGAUGCUAAUUAGAUCUAAAUUCAAAUUAGGCAAAAUCUACUAGUGGUGAUUUGUUCACCCUUAGUAGUGGCAACUAAUUCUAUCAUAAAAUAAUAAUUUACUACUUUAGAGUUGGUGGGUAAGGAGGUUGAAUGGUUAAAAAAUUCUUAAAAAAUAUUUCAUUUGGUACAAAACCAAUACCUUUUGUGUCAUUACAUUGUGAUUGCUAAUUGACAGUAAUCAUUGCAAGAAUAAAAGUUUCAAUGGUAAAAAUAGACAUAUUUCUAUGAGACAUAAUGUGAUAAAAUAAUUGCAAAAAAAUGAAGUCAUAUCCCUUGAUUAUGUGAAGUGAAAAGUGAAUUUGGACCAUCCUCUAACUAUACAUGUAGGAAGAAAAACUAAUAAAUGAAACAUUAAGGGAAGCAACAAUGUUGGUAACCUAAUCUAUGAGAUUGUGAUCCUAUGAAUUAGGUUAUGAGAUUGUGAUCCUAUGAAUUAGGUUCAUAUGACUAACAAGUCAUUAGUUUAUUCUUUGAGCACUACAAAAUCAUGUUAUUCCUAUAGUGUAAAUAGUGUUAAAAUUGCAAAGAAAGUGAGGAUGAAUAAACUCUUACUAAAAUUCGUAUCUUUUAUAGGUGGCGCAUUAAUCUACAAUAUACAUUUGAUGAAUUGAUUUAUAUGAGUGUGAAGUGAGCUCGCUUUUAUGAUAUUUUUUAAAAAAGUCUUUAAAGUAAUCAUUAAAAUCUAGGUGCAUACAUGGUUUAUUAGUGCACAACUGUAUUGAAGAACAAAAUUAUGAAUAUAAUAUGAUUAAUGAGAAUUUUAACUUAGAUGAUAGAAUUUUUAUUCAUUGAAGACACCAUAAUCAACAAAGAACUCUACAAUAGGCUUUCCAUUUUUUUUUUAUGAAAUAUAUGGAGAAUUGUUGAAAAUUAAGGGUAUUUCAAAAUAACUUUAUGUCGCAUCCAUUAGAUAAACCUUUUUGCCUUUUGUCUAUAUGAUAAUAAUUUAUUGGGUUUGUACGACCUUAUGGAAAGGAGGGUUCGCGUGCACGAGAACUGGGCUCAGCAACAUUUUGACUAACCUUACUUUGAGGGCUAUGUAUAUCAUGCACUGGCAACAUUUUAAAACUGUACCGAACAAUAACUCCUCCCUCGUGCAUUACUUGGUGAGUGUUAGUUCGUUACUAUUUUUUGUUAAAAUAGAAGAGCUUAUUGGAUACUGAAGAAUACUCGUUACUGUUCUACACACCUUAAAUUUUAGUGCUCUAAUUUUUAGAUUUCAUUUUUUGUUUACUUUUUAUAACGAUGUAAGUGUUCAAGAACACUGGGCGUAAACCUUGUUUUAAUGAAAGGAAUAAAACUUUUUAAAAUUUUGCUCAGUGCCUAUUUUGAUUGCCCAAUAAUAUUGAAUUCUCCACGGCUUGAGCUUAUGGACUGAUUCCAAAAAGAAUUAAACAGAUAAAGGUGUUAGAACAAUAUAAGCAGGCCACAAUCCAAUUCUAAAAGGGCCAAGCAACCAGUGUAUGAUCAAGUGUCAUCAUUAGAGUAAGCCCUCUGACAUAACGCUACCAAGCAGUCUGAGAUUGCCAAGUGAAAAACUGGCCCUGGAACCAGGUAUAAAGAUCUUAUAAGUACGUUACAUCACCCCCCUUUAACCUUUAAUAGCUGUGCUCUUUGCUUUUGCCUUACCAUUAUCCGUCCCAAUUCCGAAUCCUAGUUUCUUGUAAGAGCAUUGUCCAGCAAAGCCCAGCCUACCUAACCCAAACCAGCAUAUCAACAAUGCUGAAAGCAUGGAAUAAGAUGGAUUCACAUCAUUGUCUACACUUGUUUGGUGGGACAUGAGGUGAUUCGUCUUUUCCUAUCUAAAUCUAUGUUUUUGGAUUUUAAGAAAAUGCACCAAACUAUAAGAAAUAUAGUCCCACCAUUUCUAGUUUGGAUAAUGCUUUUUCUGGUAAGGAAGAUUUCAAAAUAAAAGCAAGCUGACAAAAAAAUUUGAAUAAAUGCAAGAAUCAAUAUUGAAAAUCGGGUUGGCCAAUUGUCAUUUGAUUUCGAAUUUAACCACUGGACAGUACAUAUAGAUAUUUGUGUCCAUUUACUUUCGUAAUUUAUCUGUUGUACGAGUUGAAUGAAAUCACCUACGAAAUUAGAACACAAGGAAGACACGUUUACUAAUUCAUUACUCGUCACAAAAAAAAAGAAAAAACAGACAAGCAGUUCAAUUGGGGGAGGGGGAAGUAGAAAGGCUAUAAAAAGACAGCACAGG
rnacentral:lncRNA from 1 species